rnacentral:lncRNA from 1 species
UGGGGUUUUAGCUUCAACUCUCUCUCUCUCUCUCUCUCUCUCUCUCUCUUCUUCUUCGUUACGUUACGUUACGUUANNNNNNNNNNNNNNNNNNNNNNNNNNNNNNNNNNNNNNNNNNNNNNNNNNNNNNNNNNNNNNNNNNNNNNNNNNNNNNNNNNNNNNNNNNNNNNNNNNNNNNNNNNNNNNNNNNNNNNNNNNNNNNNNNNNNNNNNNNNNNNNNNNNNNNNNNNNNNNNNNNNNNNNNNNNNNNNNNNNNNNNNNNNNNNNNNNNNNNNNNNNNNNNNNNNNNNNNNNNNNNNNNNNNNNNNNNNNNNNNNNNNNNNNNNNNNNNNNNNNNNNNNNNNNNNNNNNNNNNNNNNNNNNNNNNNNNNNNNNNNNNNNNNNNNNNNNNNNNNNNNNNNNNNNNNNNNNNNNNNNNNNNNNNNNNNNNNNNNNNNNNNNNNNNNNNNNNNNNNNNNNNNNNNNNNNNNNNNNNNNNNNNNNNNNNNNNNNNNNNNNNNNNNNNNNNNNNNNNNNNNNNNNNNNNNNNNNNNNNNNNNNNNNNNNNNNNNNNNNNNNNNNNNNNNNNNNNNNNNNNNNNNNNNNNNNNNNNNNNNNNNNNNNNNNNNNNNNNNNNNNNNNNNNNNNNNNNNNNNNNNNNNNNNNNNNNNNNNNNNNNNNNNNNNNNNNNNNNNNNNNNNNNNNNNNNNNNNNNNNNNNNNNNNNNNNNNNNNNNNNNNNNNNNNNNNNNNNNNNNNNNNNNNNNNNNNNNNNNNNNNNNNNNNNNNNNNNNNNNNNNNNNNNNNNNNNNNNNNNNNNNNNNNNNNNNNNNNNNNNNNNNNNNNNNNNNNNNNNNNNNNNNNNNNNNNNNNNNNNNNNNNNNNNNNNNNNNNNNNNNNNNNNNNNNNNNNNNNNNNNNNNNNNNNNNNNNNNNNNNNNNNNNNNNNNNNNNNNNNNNNNNNNNNNNNNNNNNNNNNNNNNNNNNNNNNNNNNNNNNNNNNNNNNNNNNNNNNNNNNNNNNNNNNNNNNNNNNNNNNNNNNNNNNNNNNNNNNNNNNNNNNNNNNNNNNNNNNNNNNNNNNNNNNNNNNNNNNNNNNNNNNNNNNNNNNNNNNNNNNNNNNNNNNNNNNNNNNNNNNNNNNNNNNNNNNNNNNNNNNNNNNNNNNNNNNNNNNNNNNNNNNNNNNNNNNNNNNNNNNNNNNNNNNNNNNNNNNNNNNNNNNNNNNNNNNNNNNNNNNNNNNNNNNNNNNNNNNNNNNNNNNNAAUUCUUUUGUUUGUGUUUCCUAGAUUUUGAGUCUUUCGUUUUGUUCGUUGUUACUGUUUCCUCUUCUUUUUUUCUUUUUAUAAUUUGAUGUUUUAGGAUUUUAUUUGCAUUUUAAUUUUAAUUUCGAAGAUCUAUAUGAUGUUUAUUUUUUAUGAUUUAAUCCAUUUGUUUGUAUUUCCUGGAUUUUGAAUCUUUCGUUUUGUUCGUGGUUACUGUUUCCUUCUUUUUUUUAAUUUGAUGUUUUAGGAUUUUAUUUGCAUUUUUAUUUUAAUUUCGAAGAUCUAUAUGAUGUUUAUUUUUUGAAUUAUGUAGUUCCUUUUUUUUGCUUCAAUUCGUUUGUGAUUUGAAUCUGUUAUAUUUUUGCUAGAUUCAUUGUAAUGAUAACAGUCGAAGAUUUAUUUAAUAAUUUUAUGAGAUUUUUUCCUUUUCUUUUAAGUUCGUUGUAUUGACUUUUUUGUUUUAUAUGAAUUUUUUAUAAAGUAAAUUUGUUAUUAGAUUUUGUUGAGAUAAUAAUUUCCAUUAGUUCAGUCAUUAAUCAAAUCAUUCCUCUUUUUUGUGUGUGUGUACGUUAAACUGUGAGACUGGAAUCAUUGUAUUGUUUGUUAGGUUUGAUAUAAUUAUAUAAAAUUAGUAGACUAUUUAGAGUUUUUGUUUUUAAUCUUUUUGUUUUUUCUUCUUCUUUUUUUUUUUUUGCAUAAAAUUACUAAUAGUCAAAAGUGAAUCUUGGAAUCUAUUAUAAUUGUUAUAUAUGAAAGUAAAAUCAUUGUAUUUCUUUUGGUAUAGGUAUCGUUUGAAUACUGCAUCUUCUAUUUUUUUUUUCAAUAUUUCAAACAUGAAUUGAAGUAAUUAAAAAUUAAAAUGUUUGUUUGAAAGAUAAAUUGCAUGGCUUUGCUAUUACAUGGAAUUGCAUAUUAGCAUUGAUAUUAGAAUUUGAGUCUUUCGUUCAGUUGUAAUUCCCCCAUGUUGACGAGGCUAAAGUAAAUAUUAAGAUCCCGUUUUAAUCUGUUCUUUGUUUCUGUUUAAUUUUGUUUAAUAAUGUUAGUGCAGAUCCUAGCUAACAGUGCAUAAUGGGUAAGGAGAAGGUUCACAUCAACAUUGUUGUUAUAGGACAUGUCGACUCUGGAAAGUCGACCACCACUGGUCACUUGAUCUACAAGCUUGGUGGUAUCGACAAGCGUGUGAUCGAAAGGUUUGAGAAGGAAGCUGCUGAGAUGAACAAGAGGUCAUUCAAGUAUGCUUGGGUGCUUGACAAGUUGAAAGCAGAACGUGAGCGUGGUAUUACCAUUGAUAUUGCCUUGUGGAAGUUUGAGACCACCAAAUACUAUUGCACUGUCAUUGAUGCUCCCGGACAUCGUGACUUUAUCAAAAACAUGAUCACUGGUACCUCUCAGGCUGACUGUGCUGUCCUUAUCAUUGACUCCACCACUGGAGGUUUCGAGGCUGGUAUUUCAAAGGAUGGGCAGACACGUGAACAUGCUUUGCUUGCCUUUACUCUUGGUGUGAAGCAAAUGAUUUGUUGUUGCAACAAGGUAGAAUUUCUUCUUCUUAAUUAAUACAGAGUUUUAUUAUUUGGUUUGUUUUUUUUUCUAAUUGUUCUGUUCUAUACAGAUGGAUGCCACAACUCCCAAAUACUCAAAGGCAAGGUACGAUGAAAUCGUGAAGGAGGUUUCUUCAUACUUGAAGAAGGUUGGUUACAACCCUGAGAAGAUUCCAUUCGUCCCUAUCUCUGGUUUUGAGGGUGACAACAUGAUUGAGAGAUCGACCAACCUUGAUUGGUACAAGGGUCCAACUCUGCUCGAGGCUCUUGACCAGAUCAAUGAGCCCAAGCGACCCUCUGACAAGCCCCUUCGUCUCCCACUUCAGGAUGUCUACAAGAUUGGUGGUAUUGGAACUGUCCCAGUGGGUCGUGUUGAAACUGGUAUCCUCAAGCCAGGUAUGGUUGUUACUUUCGGUCCUUCGGGAUUAACCACUGAAGUUAAAUCCGUUGAAAUGCACCAUGAGGCUCUUUCCGAGGCUCUUCCUGGUGACAAUGUCGGUUUCAAUGUUAAGAAUGUUGCUGUCAAGGAUCUCAAGCGAGGAUUCGUUGCUUCUAACUCAAAGGAUGAUCCAGCAAAGGAGGCAGCCAACUUCACCUCCCAAGUCAUCAUCAUGAACCAUCCUGGCCAGAUUGGAAACGGAUAUGCUCCUGUCCUUGAUUGCCACACCUCCCACAUUGCUGUCAAGUUUUCAGAAAUCUUGACCAAAAUCGAUAGACGAUCCGGUAAGGAGCUUGAAAAGGAGCCCAAGUUCUUGAAGAACGGCGAUGCUGGAUUGAUUAAGAUGGUUCCCACCAAGCCCAUGGUUGUGGAAACCUUUUCCGAGUAUCCCCCACUCGGUCGUUUCGCUGUGAGAGACAUGAGGCAGACAGUUGCUGUCGGUGUCAUCAAGAAUGUGGAGAAGAAGGAUCCAACUGGAGCCAAGGUAACCAAGUCCGCUGCCAAGAAGAAGUGAACCGAACAAAUUUUGGGUGAUUCAAAAAACCUCUAUUGUAGUGACUACAAUAGAACUUUAGUUGUGUCCUUAAUCCGAACUAUAGUUACAUGUUUUGAUGGUUAUCGUUUUAAGUUGUCACCGUCUUCUGGAGGAUCUUCACAGAACUGGGUUCUUGAUAGACGGUGGUGAGGCUUAAAUGAUGUCUUUUAUGUGCUCUUAUUUUCCAUUAUAUCAUUCUCGAAACUUUUUAGCUCAUUUCCUGGAUUCUUCUUGAAUGGUUUAAUCAAUAUUUUAUAUCAUUUUAAAUUGUUUUUCAUUUGUAUUAUCUCCAUGAUCCUUUUUAUGAUUUUUAUUAAUCUUUUCUAUCAUUUCAUCAGAAAAGUCUUUUUCUUCUCCGAUUAAAUUUCCUAAUUUAAUAUACUGUUUUUCAGGAUUCGGAAUUUCUUCUAAUUAAUUAUUAGAACUUCUUCCUAUAUUAAACAUAAAUAUAUAUUCAUCGUUACUAUCAGAAUCUGUUUCUGAUAUUAACUCAUAUAAAAUUUCUUCAGGAUUUGUUUCCUUUUGAUAACAUAUUUCUAAAUCUUGUUCUUCAAGACUUUUAAUUCUUUUUCCAACUUCUUUUCUUUUGGUAGAAAAGUUUUUGACUAUAUAAUCUAUUUUAUUAUCUAAAAUAUCUUUAAGUUCUUUAGAAGUUUUUCUUCUAGAAAACUGAUCUGUAAUAUAACCAAAAAAAAUUUUAUUUUCUAGUUUCCUUUUGACUUGUUUAUUAUAUUUUUUCUUUUUAUGCCUAUGAUGAGUAUUAGGUUUUACACCUAACCAUCCAAGUGAAGUUUUAUUAAUACAUUCUCUAUUUUUAGGAUUUUUCUCAUUAAUAGCUAAAUUUUUUAUAUUACUAGUCAACAUAUUGGUUGUAUAUUGAACUUUACUUAAAUCUUUAAUCAAAUAAUCAUCUGUUUGACUAUCUGAUUCUAUUUUUCUUUUUCAAUAUGGAUCUGGUGGUUCAGUAUCCAUAAGUUCUGGAAUAUUUAUAAUUGGGGGUUGAGAGUAUGAGCGGAAGGGAAUAUAGACUCUUUAUUAACAAAAGGAAAAUGUUACAAAAGAUAAAACUCAAAAGAAAAGUAUUUGGUAAUUUACAAGAUGUUAUACAAUUGGGCUUUCCUCCCUAUUUAUAGAGGAAUUCUAAAAAUUCUAUACAAUUGUAUUUUGAAUCCCGAACAGUGUUUCUGAUAAGGAUCCGGCUUCUUUGUGGAUGUGGUUGCUUCCACGUCUCCAUCUUUUUGCAUGGCUAUGGUUGAUUAAUAUUAACUCAUAUAAAAUUUCUUCAGAAUUUGUUUCCAUUUGAUAACAUAUUUCUAAAUCUUGUUCUUCAAGACUUUUUAUUAUUUUUCUAGCAUUUUUUCCUUUAUUAGGACAAUUACUAGCUACAUGACCAUCUUCAUUACAAAUAAAACAUUUACAAAUUUCUUUCUUUGGUUUGAAAGUCUUUUUCCUAACCACUUUUUGAUUUUUACCAGAGAAUUUUUUAUUACCUAGUUUCCAUUUUCUUAAUCUAUAUUUUUUACGUUUUUUAUAAGUGUUGGGAUAUAUUUGUUUACACCCAAAUUCCCAUUCAUUUUCUAAAAUUUUAGAACAAUAUUUAUGACUUAACUUAUUUUUGACUUGUUUAGCCACUUUACUUUGCAAACAAUGUAAAGUUAUUCUUUCUUUAAGAGUACUUAUUUGAAUAUAAAAAUAAUAGAAAAAAUCAUCAUUUUUUAUGAUGGUUUGUAGUAAAGAUUUAACAACUGCUGGAAAAUCUUUUAAAAGAUGAACAGAAAGAUUUUGUACUACUAUUUCUCUAACAAAUCCCCAUUCGAUACUUGUUAUAUCAAACGGUUCAUGAUCCAAUCUAAAUUUUAUAGCUGGAUAUUCUUUACUUAUAAAAUAAAGUCUUAAUCAAGUCUUAAUCAUCAUUAAAACAAUGAUGAUGUAAGCAGUGACAAAAGCGGCCGUGACACAAGCAGUGACAAAAGCGGUCAUAAAUGCAAGCAUGACACAUGGAAUCAACCAUAGCCAUGCAAAAAGAUGGAGACGUGGAAGCAACCACAUCCACAAAGAAGCCGGAUCCUUACCAGAAACACUGUUCGGGAUUCAAAAUACAAUUGUAUAGAAUUUUUAGAAUUCCUCUAUAAAUAGGGAGGAAAGCCCAAUUGUAUAGCAUCUUGUAAAUUACCAAAUACUUUCCUUUUGAGUUUUCUCUUUUGUAACCUUUUCCUUUUGUUAAUAAAGAGUCUAUAUUCCCUUCCGCUCAUACUCUCAACCCCCCCGAUUGGUAUCAGAGGUGCCGGUGUAACAAGUUUCUGGAGAAAUAAUAUCGUAAUAUUUAUUGUAAGUUUUUGUCUUUGAUUUACAUUUCUGUUUGUUUUACAGUUGUUUGUUUCAAAACCCAUAUCUGUUUAUCUGUCUUCUUGUUGCCGUUGAGUCCAGGGAGGACGUUAGGCGUUGUGUGAAGACGUUAGGAUAACAGGCCGGUCUUAGGUACUCGAGACAAACAUUAUGGAGCAAAUCGAGUGUCAAUUUAAAGAUAAAACUUGUGAUCAUAUUACGCAUAUAGACUCUAGAAACGAAAACAACGUUUCAUCUCUGAGUAAGGGUAUUAAUAGUCUUGUUGAUAUGACUUCUUUUUAUUUUGGUAGGUUAUUUAGUAAAGUAAGUUCUGUAGAAGAAAAAAUAAAUAACUUAGGUAAUAUAAAAGAUUUAGACUUAAACCAUGAGUCUAAAGAAAUAUUAACUAGUGUUAAUAAUAAACUAGAUCAGGUUUUAAAUAAUAAUAUCGAGUCCGAUGUAAAUUUAGGUCCUUUAUAUUACGGUAAUAGUCAAGAUCAUAUUUUUGUUUUAUCUGAUGAAGAAAACACUUCAUCUGAUGAGUUGUCAUCUAUGUUAAAAAAUUAUAAAAAACAUAAAAAAACGUAAAAAAGAUGAUACACGAAUAUGAUUUCCAGUCUUAUAAAACACUUAUAGAACAUUGGAAAGAAAAAUUUACUACUAGUAAUGAUCAACUAGAAAGAGUUGAAUAUUUAAAACUAAUUGAAGAACUUUAUGAAAAACAUAAAGAUCUUUUUAGUAUGUUUAAUUAUCAUUAUAUGUUAAAAUAUGAUGAUAGUAGUAGUUCGAGUAAUUCUGAAAAAACAGAAUUAUAUAAGAAACAAUCUGAUGAAGAAAAAACUUCAACAGAUCAGGAUGAAGACAUAAAAGUCUCAACUUAUAAUUCUAAUGAAGAAACCACUUCAUCUGAAGAAGUAGACGAAGAAAUAAAUAUUCCAGAACUUAUGGAUACUGAACCACCAGAUCCAUAUAGAAAAAGAAAAAUUGAGUCAGAUAGUCAAACAGAUGAUUAUUUGAUUAAAGAUAUAAGUAAAGUUCAAUAUACAACCAGUAUGUUGACUAGUAAUAUAAAAAACUUUACUUGAAUGGUUAGGUGUAAAACCUAAUACUCAUCAUAGGCAUAAAAAGAAAAAAUAUAAUAAACAAGUCAAAGGGAAACUAGAAAAUAAAAAAUUUUCUAGUCAUAUUAUAAGUCAGUUUUCUAGAAGAAAAUCUUCUAAAGAACUCAAAAAUAUUUUAGAUAAUAAGAUAAGUUAUAUAGUCAAAAACUUUUCUAACAAAAGAAAAGAAGUUGAAAAAAGAAUUAACAGUCUUGAACAACAAGAUUUAGAAAUAUGUUAUAAGAAGGAAAUAAAUCCUUAUAAAAUUAAAUCUGAUAAAAAUGAAAAAAUAUUUUUAUUAGAAAAUUCUAUAAACAAUAGAAUAAAAAAAGUACAGACUAUUAUCCAACAAAUGAAAAUUGGGAAAAAUGAUAUUAGUACUUUUUCAAAUUUUCAACCUAAAAAAUACUAUACUUAUAUUGAAAUUAAUUUUCAAUUUAGAGAAUAUAAAAAAUAUUCUUUACAUGCAUUAUUAGAUACUAGAAUAUAAAAAAUGAUGACUUUUUCUAUUAUUUUUAUAUUCAAAUAAGUACUCUUAUUGGUAUUUCUGAAAAAGAAAGAUUUUUUCAGCCAUAUCAAAUAUGGGAAAUUCGCAGAAUGCUCGGAAGCCCCCGACUAUCAGCUGUAAAUGAAGAUAAAGAAUACUUGGCAAAAACAAUUGACAAGUGUCAAGAAAAUUCAAGUUGUUAUCAAAUCCAAGCCGGUGUUGAUUUAAUGGCUAAAGCUAAAUAUCUUCUUCAAGAAAGAAAUUAUCAAUUCAGAACUGAUGGAAGAAGAAUAUUAGCAUAUCAUUCAUAUCUUAUUGAAGAAAAUGAUGAAGGCAUCAAUCUGCUAAAAAAGAUAGCAGACAUGAAUAUAGAAGAUUUUCCAUCUAACAUUCUGCAACAAAUCAGAAGUACAUGGGAAAAUUAUCAUCAAUAUAUAUCUACCAUUCAUCAUCUUGAGGGAUGAAUUAUGAUGGAAGCAACCGUUAAUCACAUCAAGAUAGAUUGAUGAUGCAAGCAAGAUGGAAGCAACCAUUAAUGCUUGAUAAAAACAUCCAGAUGAAGACAAAAAGUCUUAAUCAAGUCUUAAUCAUCAUUAAAAUAAUGAUGAUGUAAGCAGUGAUAAAAGCGGCCGUGACACAAGCAGUGACAAAAGCGGUCAUAAAUGCAAGCAUGACACAUGUAAUCAACCAUAGCCAUGCAAAAAGAUGGAGACGUGGAAGCAACCACAUCCACAAAGAAGCCGGAUCCUUAUCAGAAAUACUGUUCGGGAUUCAAAAUACAAUUGUAUAGAAUUUUUAGAAUUCCUCUAUAAAUAGGAAGGAAAGCCCAAUUGUAUAGCAUCUUGUAAUUUACCAAAUACUUUCCGUUUGAGUUUUCUCUUUUGUAACAUUUUCCUUUUGUUAAUAAAGAGUCUAUAUUCCCUUCCGCUCAUACUCUCAACCCCCCCCCCCCGAUUAUGUACUACUAUAAUGAUUAUUUAGUAAAAAAUUUACCUCAACUAAGGGUGUAUGUAAUUGAGUCGAGUCUAAGCAGAAAGAAGCUUGAGUUUAGAAUCAGUUUUGAAACCCGUUUUGAGUUUCUUUAAUGGCGAUUUAAUUUAAGAUUCAAAAGUAGUAUUUAAAUUGGUUUGGUUAAUGAUGGUUUCUAUCAUUCGGCUUCAGAGUUGGAUCUAAGUAGGAGUAGUUCGAGUUAAGGCUGAGUUUGAUAUUUUGUGAUAAUAAAUAAAAUGAUCUAUUUGAGUGAGUUUGAUUAGGUUUGUUUGUAUAGUGAAUGGGAAAUUCAAUUAUCAUGUUCUACCUUUAAAUCCAAAGCUCAAUUUCGGUAUUGGUUAAAAUAAUAAUUUAUCUUAAAAAUAAAGAAUUUUAAUUAAGUUCUUAAGUUAUUUAAACUGAAUACAUAUAGGCAAUUUUUUCACUUUUAAUCAUGUCGUGGAGUAUAAGAACUUCUCAACUAGGUUUAUUACUUCUUUUGCCUCUUGUAUUAAUAUUUUCACUUUAGUCCUACUAAUUUUUAAAUGAAUAAAUUUAUUUUGCUCAUCAUUUUAGCCACACCAUCAUUUCUAUUUAAGAAAAUAGAGAGGGUUAAAAUAAGAAUUUCACUAUAAUAGACGAAUAUGUGAAUAAGUAGAAUAUAUUUUAACAAAAAUGAUCAAGAUGCGAACAUGAUGAACGAAAUGAAAGUAAAAUAAUCAAAAAUAAUAAAAUAUCAAAGUUUUCAGUUUUCACUAAGUAUUAAAACUUCUAUAUAUAUCAACAAAUAUUAGAGGGGGAAGAUACUUUGGUUAUCUCCGCCUAGCUUAAUAUGGUGUCAAAUAUUAAAAUAGGAAUAAUCAGUAACAAAACGUGUCAUUUAAUCAUUUAUAAUAAAGUUCCAAGCAAACAAAAAUUUUCACUACAUCAAAACUGGCAAAGCAGCAGUAAAAUGAAAUUCCAUUUAAAAUCCAUGAAAGUUUGUAUUUCUCUGUAAUCAACAGGCUUAUUAUUCAAGCACUUAUCAUAAUCCUACCCUAUAGACCAUUCGUCUUAACAAUGAAACUUUCACGAGCUCCCGAGACCUGAUUCCCCACCUUUCAAAUGAUCAAAUCAUAAGUUCUUAAGAGCUGACUCAUGAGUUGCUUUCUGGGGUGUGAGUCUUGCCAACAAAGCCUUGUUAUGGCAAUGCUCAGCAUCUACAAAGUAGAAGUUCCCAUUGGCCUUAAAUGUCACGAAUGGCCUGUUGGUCUCGGCUGGACGGAUGUCUGCAAACUUAAUGGUUCGUGGAAUAUAUGUUGCUAACCAAGACAUCAUCUCCACCUCAAAGCUGUCUGAACCAGGCUGCCACCGGAUUUUGUGGAUGUAAGGGCUCACGAACCAGUGAAGUGCGGCAGUUGUUGUAGCACUAAGGAAUAUCACAGAGGAUGCUACUGCACCUUUCACAAUCACAUUCAUAUCAGGAGAAGUCAUGAAUGUAAUGACAGGGCCUAACGAUACCGAGAGGCAGCAGGUCGAAAGUGAAAGCAUCUUUACUUUCUUGAUUGUAGAAGAAAUCGGACCGUGGUAAACAACCCCGGCAUCCUUCUCAUUUUCGUCGUCUUCUUUGCUUUUACGAGGACCAAUGCUGAUUUUGUUGUCAUCCUCAGUUGUCUUAGCUUGAGAAGCCCAUCUUUUUUGGACACUGAAAAUGCUCGUUGCAUAGUUGAGGUUCGGCUUUGCAUAUUGGGUGCCAGACAGUGUUGCAAACCUACAACGAUAACCUAAAGCAGCGGAGAGAAGAAUAAGCAAGAGAAAAUGAUAUUGUCGCUUAUAUACUAUAAUUAUAGUAGAAAUAACAUCCAAAUCAUAGAACGCUAACAAGAAUCAUGACUGAAACAAGAUUUCAUGAAUUGUGUAUUAACAUGGAUUCAUGGAACUGUUGACCAUAACAUAUUAUUCACAAUCAAAUGACGCAGAAAUCAUGUAUACCUUUCCUGCAAUAAAAAACUAAGUUUUUGGUUACAAUUUUCAACUUAAUCCAUGGCAGCCUUCCUGAGUUGUACAUUUUCAUAGUUAGAGUCCUAUACAUUUUGAAGUUUGCUUCAUUACAGCUUGUGGAACAAAGGACAAAGGAUACUAAAGAAUUCAAGAAUCAUCAAAUCCCUGAUCUUUUCUCAUAUCCAGAAAAAAUGGGGUGGUUUAACUGUCUAGGAGUGGGGAAUGAUUCUAAGAAACAAAUUCUGAAUGUGGUUGGACAGGUAGAUCAAAUGCCAUAGUGACGAUAAAACACUAGUCACAUACAUCUAAUUUCACGAAAGAGAACUAUAAGCAAAGCAUAAGUAAUGGCAAAUUGAUGCCAAUUACAAGCAAACAUUUGCAAGCAUCAAGUUGGAGAAAGAUUUUCAUGAAUGAUUCAAUGAUGUGUGACAUUUCUUGUUUUUCGUACGACCAUACAAGAGCAGACAAAUGGUUUGGUUUUACAUGCCAAAGCUAUAAACCACCGGCUAAACGUACACAAGAUUAGACCUGGCAACUUUAGAUAUGACACGAGAGAAACAACUAAAAAUGACAUGAAAAAGUAAUGCAAAAUAUAACUUGGAUACACAAAUGAGCCAAACUCUAUAGAACACUAAUUACUAUAAAAUAUAUAACAUGCACGAGAUUAUGACAGAAAAAUAACACAAACACUAGAUGAUAUAAGCCAUCUUGGUCAAUAAAGGGAAAUUUUCAUGUAGGAUUCAAAGAUGUGCAACAUUUCUUGCAGUUUAUCAUACAAUAACACCCUCACUGCCCGACCUUGAGCAAUGGCGCUAUUGAUACUUGCAAGUAAACAGUUUGGUUUCACAUACUACAGCUAGAAAACACUAGCUACACCUUACUCUAAGAUUAAAACUGGUAAUUUUAUAUACAACACGAGAAAAAUAUCUAAAACAUGACAUGAAAUGGCCUGACUCAAAGAUAUGCUAAGUUUAUUGGUCUUUUUCAAAAACUCUAUCAUACAAUAACUCGAAGCCAUCACCCUUCUGCUUGGUCUUGAGCCAUGAAGCUAUAACAACUGAACUUGCAAGCAGUGAUUUGGUUUCACAUAAUAAUAGAGCUAUAAAACACCAGCUAAACCAAGACUAGAUAAUAAGGAUAUACGAAUGCGUCAAAAUCUAAAUAAUGUAAAUAAUUAACAUGUCAAAAUUUAUAUAAAAUAUGUAAUAACUUUAACACAGAAAAUAACACAAAUACUUGAUGCUGUAAACGAUUUCAGUCUUAUCGCAACACCAAUUCGAGUAGAUAAAGCACUUUACAAACUGAACCACUUCCUAUAACUAAAACCAAUUAAGAUUUUGGGUAUCUUUAAUUCUAAAAUUUUCAAAAGCCCAGAAUAAAAAUUGGCAAAUUCCAACAACAUAAAAACUAAAUCAUUUUUCCCUUACAUGUAUGAGUUUUUGUUAAUAAAACCCAAUUUCCAGAUCAAAGGAAAUGCCCCAAAUUUCAAAGAUUGAGAUCAGAAAUAGGAUUAACAAACAUGGGUAUUGAGGUUUUAGACUAAAUCAGAUGUUUAAACUUCACAUCUAAAACGAAUGAAGAACAAAACAGAAGGGGGGGUUCCUAAAUAAAGAAAAAGAGAACCUGAAUGGAUGUUUCUGGAAAUGAGUUGCUUGGAUUGGGAUCGAAGCAAGUGGAAGAGAGCAGUUCUCGCCAUAUUUCUAUCGGAUUUUGCAGGGAGACUGAAAUGUGUGAAUCGAACAAGGAUUCAUCUUGUAAGGGUUUUAGAUGGUUUUUGUAAUAUGUGAAUAUUUAAAAUAAUCUUUGGAAAACGUACUUCAACAAGGACAUUUGGUCUAGUGGUAUGAUUCUCGCUUAGGGUGCGAGAGGUCCUGAGUUCAAUUCUCGGAAUGCCCCAUUUCUUAGUUUUAUUAAGGGUAAAUUCCACACUAGGCCACUAAACUAUUAGUGAAUUUACAUUUUGGUUGUUCAAUUUUAAAAGGUUAUCACUGAAUUAUUCGAAAAUUUUCAUUUAACUCAUUGAGUUGUUAAAUUCAUUGAUGUAUGGCCUUAUUUAUUCAUACCGCAUUCACUAGUCAAAACUUUCCUUUCUCUUCUCUUUUACAUUUCAAUUUUUUAUUCAUUAAACAAUUUUGAACGUUAUGAAUCUACGAAUCAAAAUCCAAACAACUUUCUUUUCUAAUCUCCGACACUAAUCGUCAAAUCAACUUGGAUCUAUGUUUUUCUACUCGUCGAAGGGUAUUGAUCCAUUGUACCAAUCGUUGAAUUAAGUGACCAAAAUGGUCACUUGGAUCUAUGUUCUACAAAGUGGUCACUUGAAGCUUGCUAGAUAGGCUUUAAAAAAUAAUAAUAUUAGUUUAUUGACUUAAAUAAAAACUUUUGAAUAGUUCAACAAUCAUUUUGUAAUUUUUUGAAAAUGAGUGACCAAAAUGUAAACUUACUAAUAAUUUACUAAUCUUGGGGUAAUUUACCCAAAAAAGUAUUUAACUUCAAAAAAAUUAUUAUUUGUUAAUCAAAUAUAAUAAAACAACUCAAAGGAAUUUAGUUUAUGCAAAAACAAAAGAUAUUUAACUUCAUUAAUAUUAUUCGUUAAGAAUAAGUAAAGAUACAACACUGAAAUAAAACCAUUAAGUUCAAAAAACACUAACAUAAUAAUGGCCUAAAGACUAGAAAAAGCUUCAACCCCAAAACCCUAGCUAUAAUUUUUUUGUCGCCCCCGCCACAAGUAGAGGAAGAGGGAGAACACUAGGAAGAAAGAGGGUAGUGGAGGUUGCACCAAGCCAUUGGCACGCAUGCCUAUUGAUAAGAAUAGGAUAAUUCCUAUAAAUUUUAUCGUAUUUAUAUUGCAGUAGUCACGUAAAAAUAAGAAAGAUAUAUAAUAUAUUAUUAAAUAUACACUUAAAAAAUAUAUGAUAAUAUAUAAUAUAUUUAGAUAUUCUUAAAAGAUAAUAUCCCAUAAUAAUAUUCUAAUAACUACAAAUAGAGGCGACGUUGCAGUAAAAGUUUGUUGAAAAGGCACCAAAAUCAUUGUGAAGUAAGCCAAAACUUCAACUGAGGAGGAACGUCAAGGUAGCCACUUAGCCUUCGACCACUAGAAUAAGUUCUCAUGCAUAGACUCGUAACCUCCCUCAAGCUUCAUUCGUUGAGAUCCCAACAGAGAAUAAUAAUACCCAUAAAACUUGAAGAAUAAAGCUUUAGUGUAUCGAAACCCAUAAAUGAAAGGUAAAACCCAAAGAGACUAGAAACAACUCUUAAGUAACAAGCAGGGGUGAAGUCUAAAAUUUUUUUUAGUGGCCGAAAUUAUAUUGUAAUUUUUAUUAUAGUAAAAAUGUAAUUUUUGAAAGAUUAAAUCAAAAUAUUAUCAUUUUUAAGGAGGUCAAAGUGUAAUUUUACUUUUACCAAUUUAAAAUUUUAAAGGGUCAAAAUAGAAAAUUCUUCAUUUUAGGGGGGGCCGGGCCCCUGGCCCCUGCCAGCCCUCCUGAAUUCGCCUUUGGUAACAAGGCAAAACUUGAUGGUUGGAAAAAUAAUAGUGUUAUUUCGUUGUAAGAAAAACAAGAAAAGAAAAUAAGACAAAAAACUAAUUUUUUUUAAAAAACUAAAGGAACUAAAUUUUAAAUACAUUAAGAAUAUAAGAAUUCGGCUAAACUUGCUUAUGGGCCAUGUCACCCAUUCAGGCUCGAAGGUCCACUCGAAAAAUAGAUUUGGAUAAUAUUUAAGGCUUGUUUUCUAUAUGGACCGAGUAUUGGGCAAAAUUUUUGACCUAAACCUGGCCCAGCUUGACCCGAAUAUUAUGCUAUAAAACAAUAUUAUAUUAAUUAUAUAUGUUAAAUAAUAAUUAUAUAUAUUUAUAUUUAUAUUUAUAUUAAAUCACUAAUCCAAUAACAAUUAAACCUAUUGCUCAAGACCUAAAAAAUUUACCCAACUAAAUAACUUACCCAAAAUAUAAAAUUUUAAAAUUUAUAUUUAAUACAAUAAAGCAUUUAUUAUUUUAUUUAUUUUUUAAUGUAAUAAAACAUUUAUUACAUUUAGGAAAGUAUUUUUUUAAUAUAAAUACUUCUUAAUGUGUUAGAAAACUUUUGUUUUAGCUUUUUUUAGUGCACUUAGUGUAUUAUAUUUUUUUUAAAAAUUAAAUAAAAAUUAAUCUAAAAAAAUCAAAUAUAGACCGAUCAAGUCAAGCUCAAGUUUACUUUUCUUAAAUCUAAAAAAGUAAACUCAUUUUUUGGACCGAAUCUAGACUUAAAAAAGUGAUCUAAAUACCUUAUAUAAGCCUAACCUGAACCAGAUCUGGUCCAUAAACACCUCUCGUUUACCUAUAUUAUUUUUUAUAUUUUUUUCAGUAAAAAAAAUUAUAUUGUUAUGGUUGUUUAUACGUAACUAUGAAAUAAUUAUUUUUAAAAAAAUGAAAUAAUAAAACUUAAAAAAUUUCACACAUUAAUUAAAACCUAAAUUAAUUUAUUUGGGGGCCCAUAUACUACCCGGCCCAUGUAAAUUCAAUCCUAUCAUCUGUGAAUGUGUUAUCUAAUUUACCCAAAUUCAAUUCGGGUCACACUUUCGGAGGUAAAAUCGGCCAUUGAAGCUUCAAAAUAUGUCGAACCAUUCGCGAACUCAGUCUCUGGUCUUCGGGAUACCUUGGCCUGAACUCAACGAUGGCUUAUUCUAUAGCGACGUCGUUCCACAUUCCGAUUCCGGUCACUAAAUUCAUUUGUUCUCCUCCUUUUUCCUUUAAAUUAUGUUUUAUUUUUUAAACUGAAUAUUUUUCAUCUCUCUCUCUCUGUUUUGAUUUUAUAGAGCUUACUUUAAUAGAUUUUUACUCAAGGAAGUACAAAAAUUCAGCUCCUUUACAAGGGUAAUUUUAAAAAUUCUUUUAUAAUUAUAUCAAAUUUUCAAAAUUUUAUUUGUUAAUUCUCUUUUCCAAAUCAUUAACGAUUGAACAGUUGGUUGCAGCGAAUUCAAAAUGGACAGGUAGGUUUCUGAUAAAAAGAAUUAAGUAAUUAAUAAAAAAACAAAAAAAAAAUCAAUUUUUUGCUUUUUUUUUCAGAUAUCAGUUGAUGGAAGAGUCGUUAAAGAUCCAAAUACGAUUCUCAGGUUUUUUUUAUUUUUAAAAUUUCGUUCUAAUCAUUAUUUUCCAAUUUAUGUUAAUUUUUUUAAUUCAUUUUUUCUUUUUUCUUUUUUUUCAGUGGUGAUUCAGUUUUAGUUUACCAUAGGCUUCCAUGGAAAGAACCUGAUGUUCCUCACUUGCUUGAAGUUCUAUACGAGGAUGAUGACAUGGUAAAUUAAUUAUUUUAAUUAUGUUUGGUAAAAAUAGAAUAAAAUCUGAAUACUGGAGUGUUUUUUUUAAUUAAUAUUUAAUCAUGAUUAGUUCAACUUUUAUAAUCCAAGAACAAGUAGGGGAAGAUAUGAACUUUAAUUUCCUUUUAAUAAAAUCAUUACCCGAAACUUCAAAAUGUCUAAAUUGCUAUGAAAUAUUAAGGUUAUCAGGGCUCAGGACUUGGGGUGUCAUUGUCAUACGAGUAUGUGUGUAAGACAGGUACACUUAAUUUUUAUUAAGCUUUUGCAUAAAUUCGGAGGACCAUUUUCAUAUGUUGUAACCAUAUCCAAGUAUGCCUAGUCCUACAUGCUAUUUUAGAGUAAAUGAAGCGUUCGGGGUAAUAUAGGAAGAAAAAAACAAACAAAAAAAAGAUGAACUCAUGAAUUUGUAUGCAUAUAUUUUUGUUUAUGACUGUACCAUCUUUAAUCUAUGAUGCUCGGACAGGCACAUGUUCUGGUGGUUAUUCCAUAUCUUUAGAGAGUCGACAUUUUCAUUUUCCCAGUCCAUUCUGCAACAUACACAUCAUACUUUUAAGAGAAAACUUAACAGUCACAGUGACAUAAUUGUAAUCUAUAUUGCUCAAUCUCUUCAUUUUCUACAUUAAGUACACUGGAGUUUGGUUAAAAUUUCUUGUUAACAAAUUAUUACUACCAAAUUCUAGUAUCGCAUUUGGAACUAGAGUUUGACGUUUGAUGUAAAUUGAAAUGUUUAUGUUUAGGUUGCUUUAAACAAGCCUUCUGGUCUUCAAGUUUUGCCUGGAGGCCUUUUCCAGCAACGAACUGUUUUGACACAGCUUUGUUGGAGUGUAAAGAAGCAGAACUCUACACUAAACAGUCAAGAAACACAUCCUGUUCCUGUUCAUCGCCUAGGAAGGGGCACAUCAGGUUCGCAUACCCAUUAUUGCCUACUCGAUGUGGACAACAUGACCAAAGCAUUAUAUUUCUUUAUGUCAUUGCUUACUUGUGCAUUGCCUAGGAAGGUGUUAGUCAGUUUCGUAUACUCGUUACUUCUUACUUGAUGUAGAUAACAUGACAAAUGCAUUAUAUUUCUUCAUGUUAUUGCUUACUCAUGCAUCACCUAGCAAGGGGUACAUCAAGGUUUGCAUGCUCAUUAUUGCUUAUUCAAUGUAGACAGCAUGACCAAGACAUUAUAUUUCUUCAUGUUACUACUUACUCUUGGAUCGCCUAGGAAGGGAUACAUUACAUUUGCAUACUCAUUGCUGCUUACUCAUGCUGACAACAUGACCAAGGCAUUAUAUUUCUUCAUGUUAUUGCUCGAGAGUAAGACGUAAAGCAAAGGCUAGGAAGCAAUAAAUGGAGAAAUAAAAAGCUAAUGUUGUAUUUCUUUUGCAUCUGCAUACUCUAUCUUGAGUUGACUAAAAAAUCUGGCAAUAGUUUGUUGCUGUUUAAGUAACUACUAUUUUAUUGUUUCUUCCAUAGAUAACCAGUUAGCCUCUGUUACUUGGACUCUGAUGUCUGUCGGAUACUGGUGUGUCCGGCAUGGGUAUGUUCAAAAUUUUCUUUUCAGUUUUUCCAUAUAAUUAGCGGAUCCUAUAUCAGUACCCAUGUCCCAAUGUGUCAGAUAUGAGUGUCAGGCAUGGUACUUAAAGUAAAAUAUAAAGUCAGGGUAACAUAGCUGUUAGAAGUUUAUUGUUCUUGCUACGCGUUGUUUCUUGCCUGUUUAUGUGCUAUUUUCCUUUCCCUUAAUUUUCUAAUAAGUUAUGACCGACAUGAAUUCUGAUUAUUAUUGUUGUUGUCAUAUUUUUGUGGGUUGAUCUCUUGCUGGUUGGCUUCUAGGAAUAUUACUUUGUGCAAAGACAAAAGUUGCUAAAACUCGCCUUGCAGCAUAUUUUGCUGAUGGAACAUCUCUUGUUGGAGCUACCAGGUAGCAAAGGAAACCAAUUGGUAUCAUACUAGUUUCCACUUACAGUUUUGACUGUGUUACUUGGACAUUGGUGAGAGUGUUAGAUACAUGCAUGUGUCUAUUAUGGGUAUGUUUAGCUUUUUCUAAGUUUUUUAAUAUAUUUGAAAGGUUCUAGGAGGAUCAUGUAUCCCCAUUCCCCAUGUCAGAUAAUCUAUCAGACAUAAGUUUCGAACAUGGAUCUUUUAAGAAAAAUAAGUCAAAGCAAUAAAGGCUUUUCAAGUGAAAAAUAACUAUUUUUAUUACUGGUAGCUCUUCUUAAAUAAAUAAUAAUUUUUUACAUAAGUUUCUUUCAGACCUGAUUAUUAGAAAUUAAGCUUCAUGUCUCAGUUAGUGAUUUUUGUUGCAAGUUACAGUAACUAUGUUGAAAGAUUCUGUAAUCCCCAAGUAUCUGAAAAUAAGUUUAAGUCUAAAUUCAAUGGGAAUUUAAAGAUGAUAAUGAAGGAAUUUCACUAUAUGAUGGAGUAAAAAAAAAAAUGAAGUUAAAUGUACAUAGUUUGAUGUUGUCAAAAUUCCCAAAGAAAACUUGCAAUAGCUUGGAAGAAAGUAAAAGGCAUUGGAAGAACAGCGGCAAUAUGAGUAGAGCCAUUAGUGGCUCAGGAAGUUACUGAUGAUUUUUAGUUAAAAAGAGCAACUUUAGGCAAAGCAGUGUAUUUAGUUCUCAAUCAUUUUACUUGGACUCAGAUGUGAGUGUUAAAUACGAGCAUGUACCCGAAAAAGGUAUGAUCAGAUUUUUCUAGGAUUUUCAUGUAUUUGGAGGGUCUUUGAAGUCAUAUCCAUUUGUCAAAGAUGAAUGGCAGACACAGGUAGUUAAACGAAAAUGAUGAGUUAGAGCACAUGGGUUAAAGUUAGACCAUUGAAGAAAGGAAUAUUGAAGUGCAAUGGCAUGUGGUUUACUGAUUAAGCUAUGUGAUAUAACUAGCUUGAGUAAUGAAGAUGGAAUAAUUUGUUAAAUCUACGGUACAGAUUGAAUCAUGUCAUUUUAGAGCUUUCCUUUUAUAUUUAUAAUUGUAUUACUCAGACUCAUGUGUAAGUGUUGGAUACGAGUAUGUGCCCAUCAUGUUCAAUUUUUUCUAAAUUUUUCAUGUAUUUUGGAAGGUCCUUGGAAGGUUAUAUCUCCAUAUUUAUGUCCAAAUGUGUCAUACAUGGGUUUCGGGCAUGGAUACAUCAAGCAAAAUUAAAAGUUUGAGUAACAUAGAUUUAUAAACCUCUUUCCAAAUUUUAACCAUAUGUAAUUUCUGCCGACUGUUCUUACAUGUACAGUAAUAGGAAAGCUGCACGAAGUGGUACCAGGAAAAUAUCAAAGAUAUACCGAGCACUUGUGACUGGCAUACUUGUUGAUGACAAGGUAAUCUUACAGAAUACUUUUGCUCAUAAGAAUGACUAUGGCUUCUUAUUUCUAUUUGUGUUUUAUCCUUAUAAACACAUAAUAUUGGUGAAUUUGGUCAUCUGCAUCCACUGACCUUGCAUCUCAGUUGAAAAUUUUCAUGGCAUAAAGGCUUUAUGUCAAUUGAAUAAUGUUUUUGCAUCACAGGUUAUCAUUGAUCAGCCUAUUGGAAUUGUGCGAUAUCCCGGAGUGGCCAAAGGACUAUAUGUUGCUUCACCCUCAGGUUUGUUUGUAUCUAACAUCAUCUGUUCAACAGAUAUCAUCUUUGAAGUUCAAUAUAGUUUAUAAACCAUGGAUUUAAAGGACCAGUACUGGCUUUUCAUGAAGUUUUAGACACUGAGUUGUAAGAUUUAGUCUAUGUUACUUGGGCUCGAGUGUGAGUGUUGGGUACGAGUAUUUGUCUAUCAAGGGUAUGGUCAGAAAUUUCUUUAGUUUUUUCAUGUAUUAAGAGGAUACUUGUAGGUCAUAUCUCUAUAUUCAUGUGUCGGAUACGAAUGUUGGACAUGGGUAUUUUAAAAAAGAUGAAGAAUCAGAGCAACAUAGGAUCGAGUUACUUUUUCAUGAUGUGCUUGUACACUGAGCUUAAGUAUCUGUUCUGUUAUUGGCUUGUAAUUUGUCACUUUUUUUUUUACUUAUUAGGGAAGCCUGCUUUGAGCAAAGUUGAAGUUCUUGAGAGAGAUGAGAAACAAAACUGCACAUUGGUUCAGGUAUGUGUGACCAUGACUAUUUAGGUGGUUAUGAAGAAGCUUAGAUAGAUUUUUGUUUUAAUUUGCUUUUACUAAUGUUUUAAGUUACGUGUUUGACAGGUUGAGAUUGAGUCGGGACGGCCUCACCAAAUACGGAUUCAUCUUUCGUUCAUAGGGCAUCCCUUGUUGGGUAAGAACUGAAGUAUUACUUUGUUUAUAUAAAUUCAAUAGUGAAUGAAAUCUUUGAGUUCUUUUUUUAACUUAAUGCAGCCAUUUCUAAACGAAAAUGUGCCACAAAUGACAUUUACAUUUCUCUGACCAUUUUUAUUUAAGCAUCCAUGUCCACACAUUUUGGGACAUGGUUAUGGGUAUGACCCUCCAAAUACGUGGAAAAAACCUGUCUUGGACAAAUACUAUAAGAUACUCACAUCUGAGUUUAAAUAACAUAUAAUGGUGUGUUGUAUAGAGGCUGUUGUUGUUGUUGUUCAACUGAUAUGUUUUCGCCAACUUAUCAGGUGAUCCGCUGUAUAUUGCUGGGGGCGAACCAAGGUGUUUUGACCCUGAGCUUGUUGAUGAAAGUUUUGCACAAGAUGGGUAUGACUACAUUUGCUUGCAUUUCCUUCCUGAUCUUGUAUGAUUAAUACGAUGAUAAUAGCAUCUUCUCUUCUGUAUGAACUUUUACUGUGAUUUAGAUUUACCUUAAAGUUUGAUAUCUAACUUGUAGAUACCAUAUUUUGUCUGAGUCAAAUCUCAAUUUGUAACCAAGUUAUGAGAGAUGGUUGAGGGUUUGUACCCAUUAGGCACGAUGUGACAUAACUCUUAUUAGUAUCUGUGGCAUUGUUUGAUUGACCUGUCUCACAUAUUCGGGUAUAAGUAUGAGAUGUGAUCAUCUACACUUGUAAAUACAUGACAAAACCAUAGAAAAAAAAAUUAAACAUAUCCUUGCUGGAUGAGAAAAAUAGGUUAAUGAGGUACUUUGUUUAUUAACCAUAGUAGAUGUUUAAUUACCUAUGUAUUAUUAAGUUGAGAGUUGAACAAACCUCAGUUGGUGCUCAAAUUAUGAGCGAUGGUUAAGGUUUGUACCCACUUAAGUGCGUUGCGACAUAACUUGUUAGUAAAUAAUAGUUAUUCAUAAUCUCUAAGCUCGUAUGUUCUCGUUUAGCACUGUUUAAUUUACCCCUGUUACAUCUUUGGACAUGGGUAUAGGAUAUAAUCUUCUUAGGAUCUUCCAAAUAAUAAUUAUUCGUGGUGAACAUAUAUCUGUAUAUGAUAUUGAUAUUAUUUUAGUUCUAGAAGUAUGCAAGCCUGGAAAUGAGUUACCGAACUGCCGAGUAUUUAAAAUUGUCAUGACAGAGGGUACCAGAGGCCUACGAACCCUGUACCAGGAGACUGCGGCUAUUACUUGCAUGCUCAUCGACUUGUUCUUUCGCAUCCAACCACAAAUGAGGUAAGUCCAUAAGUUACAAUGGUUUAACUUUUAUUUUUGGAAAUACUCUGUAUCCGAUGAUAUCUAAGGGUGAUAAAGGUCCGAUUUGGUUUCAAGGGAAAAAAAAGUGAUGUUAAUGCGUAGUAUUCUGUCUUUUAAAAGCUGAACCCAAAUUGAAUUGAAUGUCAUAGGUAACUGAACCGAAUUCUCUGUUCAAAUCAGUUCGGUUCUUUGUUUUUUUCGAACUUUUUGUCAAAAAUAUAUUCUGUAAAAUAUUUUAAAGGUUUUUUUUCACUCAUUUAGAAAUAAAAUAUCUAUUUUUAUAAUAUGAAACUUAAACAUUAAUUAUAAAAUAAAUUUUGGUUCAGUUCGGUUUGGUUCAAAUAAUGAGUUUUUUAACUUCUGAAUCAGAAACCGAACUAAAAAAAAAAAAAGAGUUUAUCUGAACUGAAAUCAAAAUCAAAAUUGAACCGAACACUAUGUUUCCGAGUAGUUUUUGAUUUUCUUGGUUUUCUGGCUCAGGUUUAUGCAUAUUUGAAAACGAGUGUGGGAAUAGAAUCUCUCAACAUAACCAUAUAUUGUGUUAGACACACACUUAAAUCCAAGUAACAUAGAUCAUAAGCAUAUGAAAUCGACAUUUGGUUUCCUAGUAAACAUGCACAUCUAUCCAUAUGCGUACCAUUUACUUUGAUUGUAAUAUCACUACUAUCUUCGUAACAAUUUACAUGUUCAUUGUUUACAUUCUUGUUGCAGAUGAUUUACAUCACCGCGCCACUUUCCACCAUCCUUCAAACGUCAGAUGAGGCCAACGGCUCGCCGGGAUCCGUAUCCAUCAACUCAGGUAAUUGAGAAAACAUCGCUCAUUUAAUGGCCUUUUCUACUGGCGAUGCCGGUAAAAUUCGAUUACUCGAUCAUCAAGAGUAGUGUUUUCUUUUUUAUUAGAAUUAUCAUCACGGGUAUAGAUAGGGGCAGGCAACGACCUUGGCCCCCAAAAAUGGUGAAACCACCAUUUAAACUCUUCAGGUUUUGUGAAAUUACAAGAUAAGACCUCUCAAAAAGUUAUAAAUCAUUUUUGACCCUCAAAACAAUUUUCUGAUUUCACCAUGUAUCAUCAUUUCAUGGGGAAGGGUUCCAAUAUCUAGUAAUCUUUGUAUUUAAGAUACUAUAGAUUAUAUAAAUCUUAAUUAUUAUAUAAAUAAUUUAUAUUCCUAUAAAAUAGGUUAUUUAAUAUAAUAUUUGUAGUAAGGAAAUAAUUUAAAACUUGACGUGUACGAAUUUCAUAGAUUGUGAAAAUAUUAAUAAUUUUCAGCGUUAAAUUAUUUACAUUAGUGCAAGUAAAUCUUCCAAUAUAUUUGAAAAGUAUAUGUAAUAUGGAUCAAAUUAAUUAAUUUUGUAUAUUUGAAUUUUUUAGGAUAUAUAUAUUAUAUUAUAAAAAAAGUUGUUAUUAGUACAAACAAUCCUCUAAUACUACUUAAAUUUUAGUGUUUCUAGAAAUUUUACAUGGAAGUAAAAUAAUAUUAUGUUUUCUUACAAUAUUUUCCUAACUUAUAUAUUUAUAGUUUUAUUAAAAUAUUAAUAAAAAUGAAAUGUAUUUUAAUUAACGCAUCAUCAUCUCAUGUAAAAUGGUUUUUAAUGCUAUCUAAAUUUUAAAAUUGUUUCUGUAAAAUUUAUAAAUGUAAUAUAAUCAAAAUAUUACAAAUAUAUUAUAUUUCAAAUAAUUUGUAUUAGCCCUGAAAUAAAUACUUUUAUUACCCAUUCGAUUUUGAUAUAAAGUUGAUCUGUAUGAGGAUUGGCAUUCCAUUAAGGUUUUUUUUUUUUUAAAUUCGAGUUAUCUCGAAUUAUUAUUCAAUAAUAAAAAAUAUUAAAUAAAAUUAAUUAUAAAAAUAGAUAAAAUUAUAUAUUUAAUAUUAAAUGAGUGGUAAUUUGGGCUUACGGGUCAAGUUGGGCAUAAUACGAGCAUGGGGCAAAAAAUGUAUUUUUCGCAACUUAAUUUGAGGCAAAUCUAGAUCAAGUUGGUUUAUAGCACGGAGGUUAUUCAGUCUAUUAAAGUAACAUUCUUAAGGUCUUCUUAUUUAGCAUUUAUCAAUCGUAUUUAGCAGAUUUUGUUGGAAAUAGUUCAACGGAAAUUUGUUCAUAUUCCUAGAGAAGAAAACAUAGAAGUUGAUCACAUCGCAAAGUUGGCUUUCGACAAGAAUGAGGGACUGCAGUUGUUUGCAGAGAAUUCGCCUAAUAGUAGUUUAACGUGAUUUUUUUGAUGGGUUAUCUUUUACACCAAAAAAUAUGAUUUAAUUAAUAGAUAACAUUUUAGAAUUUGAGUAUAAAAUAAAUAUCAAUUUAAAGCAUAUUUAAAUAAAUUUAUUGAAUUUUAAAUAAUAAAAGUUUAACCUAGAUUGUUACAAGGAAUUAAAUUAUUCAACUGUUGACAUAAAACUUACGUUUUUUACAUUUUUCACAUUUAACUCAUUUCCAUGUAAAACCUCAAAAAUUUUUUAUUGUAAAACCUCAUAUUUUUCCUUUCAUUAAAAAAAUUUAAAAGAUAAAUUGAGUUUUCCUUGUAAAAAUCUAAGUUUUCCUUAUAAAUAUUCAGGUAAUUUUCUAUAAAACCUCAUGUUUUUCCUCUUAUUAAAAAACUAAAAUUAAUUAUUAAAAAGGAACAAAAAUAAAGGAAAUGAAAAAGAUAAAUGAUUUUUUCUUAAAAAUCCAAGUUUUUAUAAAUCUUUCCCUUCCAAAAAAUGAAAUUAGUUCUAAAAGAAAAAAAUAAAAUAAAAAGAUAAUGGUUUUUUCAAACCCAGACUUUCCCUCUAAAUUUUCAAAUUUCUUAUUUAUUAAAAAAACUAAAAUUAAUUCUUAAAAAUAAGAUAAAAUAAAAGAAAUUAAAAAAAGAUAAAAUAAGUGAUCAAAAUGAACACUUAUUAAAAUUGGGCGAUUAAAAUGAGUAUUUAAUGACAAAUUAACGGCGAGUGACUAAAAUAAUAAAAGUAUGUAGCAAUAGUGGCUAAAAUGAUAAGAGAAUGUAACAACAAUGCCUAAAUUGCAUUUUAUUUUCGGUCCCAAAAUGAAAACGUAUGAAAGUUAAGUGAUCAAUUGUGUAAUUUACCUUUGAAUUUAUGAUAAAAUUAAAAAACUACAUAAGUACAUUUGGCCUUACAUAUUAUAUAUACUAGAUUAUGCCGCCACUCAUAAAAAUAAAUAUUUUAUGUAAAAAUAUUUUAUUUUAAAAUUUAUUCAACAACAACUAUAGGUGAAGUGAUAAAGAAUUUGUAAGUAAAUUUUAUUAAACACGUUAUCGGUAUUUGGAUUUGUAGUUUUUAGUUCUUUUAUUUAAAGAUUAUAUAAAAGUAUGGAAAGACAAAAACAUCAUCAAAUUAAUAUUAUUUAUCAUUUAAAAGAAAGAAUAUAUUAGUCUUUUUCCAACUGAAUUGAUAUCCAAUUAAUCCGUGACAUCAAUUCAACCAAAUACUUUAUAAUAUUUAAAAAAAAAUGUAACAUACUGUAAAUAAAAAUUGAAAUUAAAAGAUAUAUGUUUGUAUCAUGUUCUUAUUAUAUUUUUGCUUCAUUUUCUUUAAUUGAUUUUUUUUAAUUAUUAUAUUUACUAGUAUGGCAUACCGCAUGCUCAUGUAACAAAUAAAUAUAUUUAAAUUUUGUAUAAAAUAUAAAAAGACAAAAAAAAAAUCUCAUAAUAUAUUUGAUAUCUUAUAAAAUGAUUUAAGUAUUUGAUAAUUUCCUAACUGAGUUGAAACUCAGUUGAUAAUCGAGACUCAACUCAGUCAACCACUUAAUAUAUAAUAUAAUAUUUAAAAUUUAUAUAAUUUUAACUAUUAUUUAACUGAUAAUUUUGAGAUGGUAAUUUAAAUUCAAAAUUUUUUUAAAAAAAAAAGAAAGAUAUUUAUCAUUUACCCCUCUUGGCUAAAUGGGUAAAUUAUUCUUUAGGCCCUCCUAAAAGUAAAAGAAUUAAUUUAGGCCCAAUCUUUGGUUAAAUGAAGAAGAAUUUUAGCCUUUUUAAAAAAUGAAUAAUCUAAAAUCUAAACAAUUUUAAUACAAAAUUUUUAGUUUUGUGCCCUCCUAAUUUAUAAUCUUCUUUGCCAUGCACAAAUGCCACCAAAUGAGGAGAAAAAUAAUUUGUUCGUAAUCGCAAUACUAGAAGGAUUUAGAAACAAACUAGAGAUACAUCACUUAAAUCAACUUUUGAUAAUUGGAUCCUAACCUCGUUAUAAUCAGAUAACUUGACAAUGAACUCUGAUCAAUCAAAAAACCAUUACUAAAAGCUUCAACAAACCCACCGCAUCAAUGAUGCAUGAAAAGAUAAGUCUCAAAUGACUUAUCCUCUUCUCCAUCAUCUUGAAAUCCAAUUUUGAGAGCACCAUCACAAAACUCUAUCCCAAUGAGGUCCUAUGAAAACUAUUCCCAGUAUAUCUAACAGUGCCCUUCCCUUGAUAAAUCACAUGUAUAUAUUAGAACACAACUGAAAAAAAAAAAAAAAAACUACCACUACUUUCAAAGAGAAUAGAAUAGAUAAGAACCCCAUUGCUUUAAAAGAAAGCAAAAUGAAUUAUUAUUAUUUUUGGUACAAAGGAAGUAUUAAAUCAAAGAUAAAUUAGAGAAGACGAUUCUCCUCCAUCUUAAUCAUCGUGCAAUAACUACAACACUUCAUCCGAUGGUUGCAUGUAAAUAUGUCUCCUCAAAGGUCUUAAGAAUGUCAUUUUUGCCAAGCCAUCCGCAACCUUAUUCUCCUCUCUGAACAUAUGCCUAACGUGAACCAUCCAGGAACGUUUGCAAAGGUCCUUAAUGGCACGCCCCACAACUGAAUAAGUUUGUUAAUCUUCAUUUGCUUGGAUCACUUCGAUAGUUUUAAUCCUAUCCACCUCAAGUAUCACCUUCUCUAAACCAAGAUUCCAUGCUAGUUGGAGCCCCUUAAGAACACCCCAAAAUUUAGCCGGAACCACUGAACAACAAUCAAUAAUUUUAGAAAAACCAACUACCCAAACCCCUGCUGCAGUAAUCUUGGACAAUUGGCAAAUUGCACCAUCAAUAUUAAUAUUCCAAAGUGAAUUAUUAUUUAUGUACAGGUAAUGCCCAAAAAUUUAAGCUUGGAAAGAGAAAAUCCAAAGAAGGAAAUGAGAAAAAAGGAGGCAUUAAAUUGUUAUUGCCUAAUGGAACUCAUUUUCUCAAAUAAAAGGAAAAAGAAAUUUUUUGUUUUUGUUUUUGUUUGGCGAGGAAAAAAAAGUGAAAGGAAAAUGAAAACAAAAUGUUUUUUUACAUUUUUUAUGAAAAAUAAAUAUUAUAAAACCUAUAUACACACACAAAAUAGUUAACCCUAUUUUGAAGGAAUUAAGGGUGAGUUUGGAUGGACGGUGCAUUUACCUAUAAUUAAUGUAAAAACAGUGGAGCAAUGAGCUUAGAUGCUAUAAUAAUAUUGUAAUAUAAGACAAAAAGUAAAUUAAACUCACCACAUCAUAUCUAAUCGCCCAUCCAAGGCUCUUCUCUUACCCGAUAAGUUGGGAGGUUAUCAUGUCAACUCCACUGGGCAAUCAAUAACACGCAAACCCUAAUUUGAAGACUUGGUGGGAUUUAAUAAAAUUAAGAAAAAAGGGGCCUAGAAAUUUAUUAGGAAAAUGACACUAUUAAAGUCAAUUUCUGUAUGAGAUUUUUAGGGAGGUCUUUGACUUUUAUGAAUAGCUGAUAUAUUAAAUUGGGAUAAAUUUCAAAAUUAUAUAUGAAUUUUGAUUCAAUUUAUAAUUUGAUACAUAAACUUUGAUUUAGAGCAAUUAGACAUAUGAAUCUUUGGUUGUGGUUCAAAAAUAUACAUAAAACUUUAAUUUUGAUUCAAUCAUACACAUUUUAAAAAACAAAUACAUCAAUUUAUUUUUAUAUUGGAUAAAUAUAAUUAUAUGUGCAUGUAUAAACAUAAAAUGACGUUAUAUAAAAUAUUGUGUUAAUAAUUUGUGAUAAUUGAUUCAAAUCAAAAUUUUAUGUAUAAAAUUGCACAAAAUUAAAGUUCCUGCAUAAAGUUGCACAUUAAAUCAAAAUUCAUGUAUAGUUUUGAAAUUUGUCCCUAUUAAAAAAAACAUGGUAGAACCAUAGAAGACACUUGCAAACGAGACAACCUGUAAGUAAUGCAUGUUGUCCGAUGGUGGAACUUGACAUUAAGUUUUAGAGGUUUAAUUAAAAUUUUCAACUAUUUUAGAGGUUGAAUAAGAAAUUUUAAAAAUUUUAGGGGGAAUAAUUAAAAUUUUUGAAAACUUUGAGAGGACUAGUGAAAACUUUAGAGAGUUCAAUUAAAAAUUUCAAAACUUUUGUAGGACUUAAUUAGAUUUUUUAAGAAUUAUGGAGGGUCUAGUGAAAAUUUUUAAAAUGUGAAGGAUUAAAUGAUAAUUAUCAAGAUUUUUGAGGACCGAAACCCUCUAUCAAGAUAGUUAGUAUCACACUGUUUCGGUGUACCGUUUUGGAUUUAUUGAUAUUUUUGAAAAAAAAUAUUUAAUAUAUAUAUAGAAACAUUUACAAAUAUCAAAUAUAAAAUAUUCAUGCUUCAGCCGUUGCACAAUGUCACGGUAAAAGUUUUUAUUACUAUUUUGAUAAAAGUUAGAAAGUCUAUAUUUCUAAUAUUAUUCAUGCACAAUAUUCCUGCCAAUGCAAUUAAGAUUAAGCGGAACAGAUCAAUACGAUUGAUAAUGAUUGAAAUUUUAACUCGUGCAGAAAAAGAAAUUGAUUGUACCGAUUUAUUAUUGAAAUGGUACGCACCAACCAGAACCAGUGUGGAACCAACUACAAACUCUAAAUAACAAAAAUAUAUAAAAAUAAAGUUAUACUUUACCCUCUUUAAAAUUUUCUCCUCAAGAAUAAAAUUCUUCAUCCCUAUCCACGUUUGCUGUCACUGUAAGGAUAACUUCUUCCAUUAAUUUGGUAUUGAAUGGACCAGAUUGUGUACUUUUCAAUACUAAGAUCUGACUUGAUCAACGGUGUCAGGGGAUAAAGCUUCAAUUUCGACAGAUAUAUGCCAUUUUCAGUAAAAUUUUUCUUUAAUGGAUUUAAUGAAAAAUAGUUAAAUUGAUGAAAAUAAAUUCAACUUUAUUAUUUACAAUUAUUAAUUAAAUAAGGCUUAAAUAUUUAAUUUUUACUUAAAUAAACUUAUAAGCUUUAAUUUAUAGUUAAAUAAACCCUUUCUAUAAAUCGAAAAUUCAUUUGUAAUAACAAGUUAAUUUUAUGAAAAUUAAAACAUAUAUAAAAGCUUUUUUAAAAAAUUAAACAUAAAAAGGUUACUUUGAGUACAAUAAGGGAUAAAUAUCAGAAUUAUACAUGAACUUUAAUUUAGUGUAAUUAAACACGUGAAACUCUAAUUGUGGUUCAAAUGUAUACUUAAAAUUUUAAUUUUGAUUUAAUCAUAUAUAUUUAAAGAAAUAAAUACAUUAAUUUAUUUUUAUAUUGGAUAAACAUAAUUAUUUAUGUAUGCAAUGUAUAAACAUAAAAUGAUAUUAUAUCAAUAAUUGUGUUAAUAAUUUUAAAAAAUUAGAUCAAAUCAAAAUUCAUAUAUUCAAUUGCACAUUAAAUCAUAGUUCAUGUAUAGUUUUGAAAUUUAUCCCGUAUAAUAAAAAUAUAUAAGAUUAUUUUUAAAAAAAAUGAAGAAUUAAGGCUUUUUAUGCAAUUUUCAAAUAAAAAAUUGAAUUAUCGAAUUUAACAUUAUUUCAAAAAAAAAAACUAAUCCUUUCGAAAAUAAAACAACAAUAUUGGUUAAAUUUAUUUUCUUUCCUUCCAGAUUUAAUUAUUUUUUAAAUAAUAAUAAUAAUAAUAAUAAUAAUAAUAAUAAUAAUAAUAAUAAAACACGUUAGGUUAAAAUAUUUGAUGAAUAGGUCAAAUAGUAAGCCGUUUUAAAAUUCAACGCUGUGUUCUUAAACUGGACUACGUUUACCAAUGAAUCUAAAACAGUUACGUUUACGUAAGUAUGUCGUAGUUUCAAACCUAUUCUCGUGUUGAUUAAAAAAAUAAUUCCGCCAAGUAAUCCAGUUUAAAAAAUUUCAUACAUUUAGUCGGUUUGGUUAAGAAAAUAUUAAAAAUUUAUUGAAUUAAUUUAAUUAACAAAAAAUUCGAGUAGUUCGAGUAAUUUGACCGAUUUUAAAAAUAAAAUAUUUAAGUUUUUAUAUUAAAAUUAUUGUAUAUCCUUAUACGUAUCUAUUUUUAUUUAUAAUAUAAUAUACAAUAAUAAAACUGGUUGAAUCUAUUUAAUUAUCGAUUCUAGUCAAUUGAGUAUUAGCUCGAUUGACACGAGUAUUGUUGCCAAUACAGAAGGACAGGGGUACGAGUGCAUUGAAGCACAUUAUCCUCCUAUUAAAAAAGAAGAAGAUACGAUCAGAACUUAUAAUAAAAUUGUUAAAAAAAUUAUCGAUUCUAAAAAUAGAUAACCAAUCAAAAUAAGAAUGAAUUGAUAUUCUAAGAUUAAUUGACUUCAAAACCAACUAAACUGAAUUAACUAAAUUUAAUCCGUUUCCUAAAAGUAAUAGCACAAAUUAUCUUAGAUAAGUUGAAUCCUUUGUUUUAAAAUGGAUAUUAAUUUUCACCAUUUGAGUGUUGCUCUUUUCAAUGUGAACAUAAGGUUAGACAAUAUAGUAAUCAACAUUAAUACAAAUUAUUAGUAAUUGGUCAAUCUUGUAGGGCUAAGAGGAAACGGUGAUGAGGAGGAGGUGUUGAAGUCUAAGGUCACUCUCACUUUGACGAAGUCGGUCAUUUCUUUUUGGAAUGAUUUUCUCUUCAUUAUUGUCACCAAACUCAACUCUAUAAAAACCCCAUUGUUUUGGAUCCAAUAUUUUAAAAUUAAAAAGAUCAACACAAGAUAUCCAAGAAGAAAGUUAGCUCUACUUGAAUAUAUCGAGAGAUUAGAGAGAGUUUUUGAAGUAACUUGAGUUGCAGAAAGCUUGAAAAAUGAGCACGACAAUGGCGCCACCACCCCCGGUGGUUGAUACUGAAAAAUUAGCACGUUCAUUGGAGGAGACACCGACAUGGGCUGUUGCAGUGGUGUGUUUAGUUAUUGUUGUUGUUUCAAUCUUCAUCGAACAUGGCAUUCACAUGCUCGGCAAGGUAUGUUUAAUUUUAUUUUUUUAAAACCCCUUUUCAAUUUUAUAAAUUAUAACUAAAUUUCGAGUUUUUACUUGAUAACUCAAUCAGUUCAUUUAAUCAUCCUUAAAAUGGCGAUUAAAAAUUAAUUUUCAUUAUCAAUCAAAAAGUUAAUUAUUAAGAGGGAUUAAAAUUGAAAUUAUCUCAUUUAAUUAAGGGAGCUAAAGGCUUGUACCAAUUUAGGGAUCUUCAAAAGGUUAACCGAUGGGUUAAUUGAACUUUUUGAUCUUUCAACUGUUAACUGAAACGGAAUUUUUAAAAAAAUAUACCCAAACUAAAAUAUCUCAGUUAAUUGGGCAGGUUAAUCAAAAUUUAUCUGUUUUUAUUUUUUUUUUGUUAAAACAAGUAUAAAAUAUAUAUAAAAAAAUGCAUAAUGUUCAUUUGACCGAAUUAACCAAAUUAAUUGAAUUAACCAAAAUAGUAAUAGCAUAAUACAUAUAAUAUAUAAUAUUAUUUAUUAAGUUAAGUUAAUUUGGUUAAUUACCCGAUUUUGAACCAAAUUAAUCGUUAAUCAAAAUUCCGAAAAAACUUUAACCAACCCUGGUUGAACCAGAUCAAUUAACUGACUGAUUAACCGAAUUAGAUCAGUUCGAUCGAUUAAUUCAGUUUUAACCGAAAUUUGAACACUUCUAUACCAGCCUCCACUUUGCCAUGUUUCAGAAUUCAAAUUUUAGUCAUCCUUAAAAGAUGAUAUCAAAUUAUUUCGAAAUUCAAAUAUUAAUAUUUGUAAUCUUAUUCUUCAACUUACGAUAUUUUUUUGAGAGUUUUCUAAUUUCAAUUCGAUGAUACGAGAUUGGAUAUCACUUUUAACUGUAGUUAUAUGGUUUGAUUGAAUUAAUUAUUUAAUUUGUUAAUAUUUAUUCAUGAUAUUUUUACGAAAAAAUAAGUUUUUUUUUUCAUAUAUAUUACAUAGUGGUUGAAGAAAAAGAAUAAACCAGCUCUAUACGAAGCACUCGACAAGGUUAAAAUAGGUAAUUGAUUUUUUUUUCUUUUUUCCUUUUUAAAUAUUCAUAUUUAAUAUAUAAUUAAAUUAAAAAUUUUAAAAAAUAUAUAUGUGAAAAUAUGAAGACUUUUGUAUUUGUGUGUUGCAGAGCUGAUGCUGAUGGGAUUUAUAUCAUUCCUACUAACAGUAUUUAAAGACAGUAUAGCUGACAUUUGCAUAUCAAAAAGCGUUGCGGACACGUGGCAUCCUUGUGAUAAGAAUUCCAAGGCUAAAUACCCUCCUAAAGAGACUGAUAAAUGUCGAGAAAAGGCAUGCCAUUUAUUAUUCAUUUUUCUAUAAUGGGCCUCGUAAUAUUAUUUUCAAUAUUUGGACUCUUUUUUUUUUUUUAAAUGUAACGUGCUUUAUCAUAUAUAUUUAAUAUAAAUACAAAUAUUACUUUUUAGAUAUAUUUCAAAGAUUAAUUUUGAAUUAAAAUUUGAAAUUUCAGGGAAAAGUAGCAUUUGUGUCGACAUAUGGAAUCCACCAGCUUCAUGUAUUCAUCUUUGUGUUGGCAAUCUCUCAUAUUCUGUAUUGCAUUACCACCUAUGUUUUGGGAAGUUACAAGGUAUUUUUUUAAACUAUUUGAUAUAAAAUUAUUUAAGAUUAUCUUUAUCUUAUCUAAAUAAAUUUUUUGGACCGCAGAUGAAGACGUGGAAGACUUGGGAAAAUGAAACCAAGACUGUUGAAUAUCAAUAUUACAAUGGUAUUUUAUAAUGAAAUUCUCCUUCUUUUUUUUUAUUUAGCUUGUUAUUUCAUAAAAUUCGAAAGGACUAUAUAAUCAAUUUACUAUUUUGGAGGUCCAAUGCCACUGCCUCCAGACUUAUUUAUAUACUUAGAAAAAUGUUUUUUAUUUUAAUUAAAACUGAAUAAAAAUUAAUUUUGUUAAUAAAUAAUGAGUAUUUUUUUCUUGUUUAUGAUAAUGUAGAUCCUGAGAGGUUCAGAUUUGCAAGGGACACUUCAUUUGGACGUAGACAUUUGAGCUUUUGGAGUAGCUCCACUUUAUCUGUUUGGAUUGUAAGUAAAAUCAAAAUUUAAAUUAUUUAAAAUAAAAAUUAUCCAAAACUUAAUUAUGAUAAUUAAUAUUAUUAUCUAUUUAAAUAUUUAUUCAUUGUCAGGUGUGUUUCUUUAGACAAUUUUAUGGAUCAGUUACAAAGGUUGAUUACUUGACAUUGAGACAUGGAUUUAUCAUGGUAAGUUAAAAGUCUAGAUUUAGGUUACAAUUUCAUAUUUUUUAUUUAUUUGUGGCAUUGUUUUUAUUGUAAUAGAUUAUGGUGAAUAUUGAUUAUAAUAUCGUGUUGCAAUUGUUUUUAGGCACAUUUGCCACCAGAAAGGGAAACAAAAUUCGAUUUUCAGAAAUACAUAGAAAGAUCAUUAGAAGAUGAUUUUAAAGUUGUAGUUGGAAUCAGGUUAGUACUCUUUUUUUUUUUUUUUUUUUAUUUGAAUUCGAGAGUAAACGUUAGAUACAAAUAUAUGUUCUAUUCGAAUAUAUUCAAACAUGAAUUACAAACAUAAAUACUAACUUAUAAUGUCAUAUGAAUUUGCAGUCCUAUCAUAUGGUUUAUUGCAGUCUUCUUCCUUCUUGCCUAUACACAUGGUAAGAAUUUUCGUAUACAAUAUCCAUCAUUUAUGAAUGUAAUGAAUGUUAUCACGAUCUAAAUAGAUUGAAACCCGACAGGAUGGAGAUCUUAUUUGUGGCUUCCUUUUAUCCCCUUAAUUGUAAGUACAAUUUAUGCAUGUUAAAACAUAAUGGAUUACAAUAAUGCUUGAAUUUGGGUAAUAAAUAGGGAGCUUUUGCUUAUUUCAGAUAAUUCUAAUGGUUGGAACCAAGCUGCAAGUGAUCAUAACAAAAAUGGGGUUAAGGAUUCAAGAGAGAGGGGGUGUGGUGAAGGGUACACCACUGGUUGAACCAGGCGAUGAACUCUUCUGGUUCGGCCGCCCUAGCUUCCUCCUCCUUCUCAUUCACAUCGUUCUUUUUACGGUAAUAAUUUUCGCUUCAAACCUAGCUUUUUAUGUCAGAUUAUUGAAAAACAACAUGGUAUGAAUAUCCUGAUUUCAUUUGUGCAGAAUGCAUUUCAACUGGCCUUUUUCGUGUGGAGCACGGUAAGCAAAAACCUAAACCCCGUGUUUGUUUCCUGAGAAAAUGUUUUGAUUAGCUUAUCUAACACUUUCUUUUUAUCCUAUUCAGUAUGAAUUCACCAUAAAUUCUUGCUACCAUGAGAAAGUUGAAGAUAUCGUCAUCAGAAUCUCUAUGGGGUGAGUUUUUCUUUUUCAGCUAAGAUCAUAAUAAAUAUAUAUAUUAAAGAUUUGAAAAAAAAUGAAAGCAAAAUACUGAUAAUAUAUUUUUGCAAAUUUCAGGGUCAUUAUACAGGUUCUUUGCAGUUACGUCACUCUUCCACUCUAUGCUUUAGUGAACCAGGUAAUAAAUUAGAUGGGUUCAAUCUUAGAUGAAGAUAUUAUAAAUUUAGUUUGAUAUAGUCUUAAUUGUAAUAAUUAUUUUCAUCUAUUGAUAUACAAUUUUGAUAAUUCUUUUAUUUUAAAUUCUAAUAAACUCGAAUCUAAACCUGAAUUUCGAACCCUAAACUCAAACUCUAGUUCAAGGUCUGAAUUCGAGGUUCCAACCAUUAAAUAGUUGAAAAGUAUUUUCUCCUAUUAAUCCAAAUAAUUUUAAAAGAAUAUUAUAUUAUUAAUUUAUAUAUUUGUAUUUGUGUACAGAUGGGAACAAAGAUGAGACCAACAAUCUUCAAUGAAAGAGUUGCAGAUGCACUUAAGAAUUGGCGUGACACAGCGAAGGAAAAUACUAAACACGGCAGGCGUUCGGAGAAUACAACGCCAUUUUCAAGCAGGCCGGGAACUCCAACACGUGGGAUGUCUCCGGUCCAUCUUCUGCAUAACUAUCAACGAAAAAGUGAGGAAAGUGGUCAUACGUCUCUGGCGCAUUCAGACUUCGAGAACGACAAUUGGGAUCCGGCCGAUACGUUUGCCAACUCUUCAAGUCACCGAGAUAUCGGUGUUCCUGAAGUCAGUCGUGGUGGAUCGCAAUUAGAAAUGAGGGAAGUUGCAGACGUGAGGGUUCUAGAAUCUAGAGCUUCACAAAGGGUAUCCACGUCAUCUCGGAUAGCUCGAACACAACACGAGAUCGAUAUUAGUCCGUCGAGUUUUUCCUUUGCGAAAAGAUGAUCGAAACCAAUGAUAUAAAACGUGUUAAACGGUUGAAUCUCGUGUAUUGACCUGAUGAUUAAGAUAUUCGCGUGAUCUAGAUUCGAGUUGUGCUACUCGCAUUAUUAUUAGGGUUUUGCUUUAUUCUUAUAAUUCACAAAGAAAAACAUGUUAGAAUUUGUAUUAUUAGGUUUUAUUAGAUUCAAUGUUGCAUCAUAAUGUGUUAGAAUUUGAUAGGAUAAUUGCUUGUANNNNNNNNNNNNNNNNNNNNNNNNNNNNNNNNNNNNNNNNNNNNNNNNNNNNNNNNNNNNNNNNNNNNNNNNNAGAAGAAUUUAUUGGUAGUUGACGUGGAUAAUUAAAAAAAUUGAGUACACUUCAAUUUCAAUUUUGAAAAUAAUAAAAGAUAAUUAUCCUUGUUAUGUAUAUAUAAUACAUUGGUAUCAUCUUCUCUUAUUUUACGCUUUGUUAUUUAUAUAAGUAGUUUGUAUUCCUUGUAAAUUCAGAAUUUAGUCUUUAUAUUUUUAUUUUUAAGAAUUUAGUCUUAUUAUUAAAUUCUAAAAUUUAAGUUCAAUUCUUAACAUUAUUAAAUUUUUAGGUAAACUAUAUAAUUAAUCAUAACGUGUUUCUGUUUUGGUCAUCGAACUACAAAAAAUUUUAAUUUCGUCACUAAUGUUAUCGUUCAAAUCUAUUUUGGUCAUUUUAUGUUAAAUCGUUAAUGAAAAUGAUGACGAAAUUUUUUUAAUAUGUUAAAUUUUUUUUUAUGAAUCUAACUCUACACAUAUAAAUUCUAUGACUUUGAUGAUUUGGUUUUUCACAUAUGGAAAAAUGGGUUGUAAAAUUAUAUGGGGUUGAAAAUUGUGAGCAAUAAAAUUUUUAUUCAAUUUUUGUGGGUUUCGUCUUUUCAUUAUUUUAUUUUCCAAUUUUCAAACCGUACUAAAGAAAAAUAUUGAUAUAUUUAAGAAUUUGAAAAAAAAUGUGUAAUUUUUAAGUGUUAUGGUUAGGAAUCGACCUGUAUAAAUAAUGAAAUAAUAACAAUAAAAAAGAAUGUUUUACGUGGAGAACCCUCGAAUAGGGAAAAACAUAGGCAAAAGAGGCUUAAAAUGCCCCCGUCUUUCACUGGCCUAGGCUUUGUAAGCUAUACAGGGCAAAAAUGGACCUAUUUUUCUUUUUCUUUGGCAGAGCGAGAGACGACGACGACCGAAGGGAAGGCUCUCUUUAUUUUAUAUCCAAGAUUAGACUAUUACGAGGCACUGUAGCCCGCUAACGGUUACCUGCGAGCGAUGAUUUCAACCAUUAUAGCUGGCGUCGACCCGCUUUCUUUAAGUCAUUCGAUCACUCGAGAGUACUUUUUUCUAUCGCAAUCUCUCUGGUUUUGAGUCCACACGGAUCUACUGAUUUUUAUGUACUUUCUCUAGUAGGGAAGGAUUAGUCCGAGCCGUGUAGGCAGAAAGCUAAAAGGGGUUUUGGCACGCUAAAGGCUUUGUUUUGCCCAUUUCUAGGCAUCCUUACUUUUUUACUCUCGUCUGAACAGUGGCUCCUUGUUAAUCCAUGCAGCGAUAGUUUAGUUGAUGCUCUUCUCCACGUUCACCCUUAUCGCAGGAUGGGUGUAGUUCAGAGCGCAAGAUUUGAAGAAAGCAAGCCUGAGUCACAUGCCCUACUCUCUAUUUUUAGUUAGAUGGCUUGUGAUGUACCAGGUCUAUUUCGCUCUAUGGUUAUAAAGCAAGUACACCCCCAUCUCUUUGGAUUGAAAUCAUGUCCCGAAUCUCACCGGGAAUGAUUCAUUAUCAUAACGAGGGGGCAGCAGUCAAUCUAUAUCUCACUUCGUUCCUCAGGUCUCCAAGCCUUUCUUUUUUGUUGCACUUCUGAACUCUCGCUCUUCAGGUGAUAUCAUUGUGAUGGAUGCUCUCUCCCAUUUACUGAAUAUCAUCUUUGACGAUGUUUUUUUCUCCUUUUCACACGGGUUUAGAAAAGGUCGGGGUCCGAUUUCUUUUUUUUUUUGGAAGUUCAGGGGUGGGGGCAGGUCGAUAGACUAAUAAAGUCUGAUAUCGUUGGGUGUUUUGACAACAUCGAUCAUGAGCUACUAAUCAACAUAAUUCAAUCCUACUUGGGAAAGGAAAAUCAACCCUUCUUUGAUCUUAUAUUAGCUUUCCUAAAAACUCCAAUCGUAGACAAAAAAGGGAGGGAUUUUAAUAAUAACGAAAAAGGCAUACCUCAGGGCAGCCCUCUUUCCUCUGUUAUGAUGAACAUCUUUCUUCACCAGCUAGAUAUUCGAAUCAAUUCCUUUAUGGAAAGGGAAAAGAGCGUACGAUAUUUAAGGUAUGCAGAUGAUAUGCUUUUUGCUAUAAAAAGCGGUGUGGACUCAGAACAGAUAAACCACAGCUUGAAGAAAUUCUUUAAUGAAGUUUUGCAUGAACUCAAACUCGAGGCAACAUCACUAGAGCUUAUUCGAGGAAAGAGUAAGCCCCGGGAAAGGUUUGUAUUACGUUUGUUUUUAUCUAUUAAACUAAGUGGGACCCUGGUGAUACGAAGUAAACAAACAAGAGUACAAUAUGGAGAAAAUAAACUUAAAUGUACAAACCAAAUCCUAAAAAUAAAGUCCUAACUCGCGAACAAAAUUCUUUCCAUAGUUACCAUGAACUCUCACCAAAACUCAUAUCCCACUACAUCUUGUCGUCCUUAAGAAAAGCUUUUGUUGAUUGACAUAUCAAAAUAGGGAUACAAUAGCCUUUGUCCUUGGCCACAUCAACUACCUCUAUAAUUAUUCGAAAUUGUCAGAAACUAAAAUUUGUGAUCCGUCAAACUUUUCAAUAUCCAAAAUCAUUGUGGUGCCACCGAACAAAUCGAUCUGCGGAAGCUGAACCAGGAUCUGAUACUAGUUUGUUGGGGAUCGACCUGUAUAAACAAUGAAAUAGUAAAAGUAAAGAAGAACGAACACAAAUAUUUUACGUGAAAACCCCUUAAAGAGGGAAAACCAUGAGCAAAUGAGGCUUCAACUUUUCACUAAAUGAGCUUAACCAUUCCAUACGGUCAUGUGAGCCACAUGAAUGUGUGGUAGGCCAUGUCAAUUUCAUGGGAUUGCAUAUCAAACAACAACAAAAUUACGAUUUUUAGGUUUUUCGGGCAUUCUAAGAGGGAUAUAUGACAAAAAUAAGAAGAUAGGAGAGAGCCGUUAGAGAAUACUCAAGAAAACAACUUGAAAAACACCAUUGAAGUUGACUUUGAAGCAAAUUUCCGUUAAGAUUGAAGAUUUUCAAUUGACCUUUUAGGAAGUUAUCAUGAGUUUCUUAUUUCUUUCGGUUAUAUAUUGUGUCUUAGAUGUUUUUAUUUUCAAGCAUGAACUAAUUUUCUAAAUACAUAAGGGAAAUGAACUCUAUGAUGGAUUCUGUCGUUUGAUUUCUAUUUUACGCAAUAAAUAUUUCUUGCUCUCAAUUAUGUGUGUUUAAUUAUUGGUUUAAUAUUUAUAGAUUAUUGAUCCAUAUUCGAUGUGCUUAAAUCAAUGGUUGAAUGGACCCUGUUUAAGAGUAGAUAUUACUUAUUUGAGUGGAGUUGCAUGUAACCCUAGAAAUAGGACGACAUAAAUAUAUCGGAUUAGAGUCAAAUCUAAUAGGGAAUCAAUAUCACAAAUUAAUGUGAUAAUAGGGUUUUUAAUUAGAAAGAAAUUUCAAUUAAUCAACCUAGAGUCAGUUGCUCUUAUGCUCGAAAGAGAUAUUAACAUAGUUUAGGUAUUUCUACGGAUCAAUGUCCUAAGUAAAGAAAUUGCGUAAUUUAGAUUGAUAUGACAGAUGAAAUCUAGGCGAAUUCUUUCAUGGGUAUUAUUUCGCUUCUUGGUUAUUACUCGAUUAUUUUUGUGUUUUGUUUUUUGUCAUGUUCAUUAAUUAAUUAAUUAAUUUAAUUUUAGUUUUUAAUCAAUCACUUGAAUUAUUCAGUUAAAUAAUAGAAAGACAGUAAUAAUUACUAGUACUUAUAGUGCUCGUGGGAACGAUAUCUUUACUCAUCGCAGCUAUACUAUUAAUUGAUAGGUGCACUUGCCUUAGUCAAAUUUUUAGUUAGUUUUGUGACACAUUAGCAUUCUCCAAAUUAAUUUUAUAUAAGUUAUAAUAAUUAAAUCUACAAACUAUUUGGAUUAUGAACUCAAAUAUUAUAAGGUCGGUGUUUAUUAUGCAAAUAGAAAAUAUUUUAUUGUAUCAUACUGUGAGGUAUGAUACAAUUUGAGAGAAUAGUGCCAAACACAAGUACCACAAACAACACGCGAACUCUUUAAUUUGAGACAUUCAAGGCUUCGGAAUAUGGUUGAGAAAACAUUUGUUGUUCUAAAAAAAAUUCACCUUAGUAUAACAUAAAAAACAAUGUUGGAUUAUACAAAUGAUGAUCUAUACUUUGAAGAAUAUAUAGAAGAAUGAGAUCUUGAUAAACUUAAUAAUGCAGUUUCAAAUUCGGAUGAUGAUGAACUCGGUCAAUGAUCAACAAAUGAUGAUAAGGAGCGUAUGUUAAAUAUUAAAGAGGAAAUAACCCAACAAAUACAGACUAGAACAAUUGCAUAAAAUUGCAUAUUAUGAUUGAUUUUCUUACUAUUUUUAUUAAUAAUCGUAUUAUCAACUAUUUUUUUAGACUAAUAUAACACAUAUGAUGGUUUGAAUUUUAAUUUUUGUUACUUGUGUAGAAAUUAUUUUUAUCAUACUAAUAAUUUUUAUAGUAAUUAAUAUUUUUAAUUAUAAAUUACGUAACCGUGUAAUUACAAUUUGUACUAUUAAACAUGACAUAGAUAAUUACAAUAUAAUUACACUCUGUCAGCCAAACACAUCUAGGAAAUUACAAUUCAUUAUAAUUACGAGAGAGUAUAAUUAUUACCUUAGUAGUUACAAUUUUAUUCAAUUACUUGUGUUGUCCAAACAAACCCUAAAUAAAUAAAUAAAAUACUUAUUAAAAAGGGUUUUAGAGGAUUUAAAUUUAUGAUUCAACAUAUGUGUUUCCGGUCAUAUCAAUUUUAUUAAUGUUAACCAGUAAGGUGAACAAGAGGAAGAGGAUGGUGGCUGGACAAAGGUAAGGUGAAGUCUGGGAAAGAUAUCAAUUUGUAAAGGAUUCUAAGGGUUGAGGAAGGAGUGAGUACGUAGUGUGUAUGAGUUGUUACAUGGCCCUUUUAUAGUAGAGGACAAGUUUAUCUAUAUGUCUUGAGGUUGCUGACAUGGAUGUUUCAUUUGAUACUCUUGGCAAUGAUGAUGAUGCUAUGUCCUAAAAUAAAAUACUUUAGGAUGACUGGCAACCAGUUACCCUGGGCUCUAUGUGGUCCACAUAUGUUCUCAGCAGAGAUGACCGACUCCAAAGUUCGCCAAACUAAGGUUCGCAAACUGACCCACGGUUCGCUAUGUUGCCAGCUCCAUUGAGAGACAUAUGUUAGAUUCUUUAUGGGUACGUUAGAGGUCUACGAAGUCUGUUAUAUAAAGUAUAAAAAUUGCCCUUAAGUGAGAGAAGGUUAUAAAGUGCUCUUCGUGAACUUGUUGGGGAAGCUGGUAACGUAGGUGUAAGGUUUGCUUUGAAGUAUUGUAUAUUUUAUUGAUAUCUUUAUUUUAUUUUUUCAGAAAUGAUUAUUUUUUAAAUUUGAAUUUAUGGGGUAAAUAUAUUCUUAUAUGCACACUGGUAUAUAUUUAAUGAUGAAUGUUUUUGAAAUGUUCAAUAUAUUACAGCGUAUUUAUUGGGUUCCCCAUGAAACUGGCAUUACUAUUACCAUGCGAGUACACGGUCAAGCUCGGAUUGGAGCGGCUUUUUGGAUUUGGGAAAUAGCGCAUGAGUGAGUGAGUGCAACUUACUUUAUAAAUUUCGAAUGAACUUAUAAAUAUGGACAAGAGUUUGUGAUUUAUUUCAUCGUUUGUUUUUUGAAUUUCCUGGUGUAUGUAAUCUUCUUCGUUUGUUCUUCUGGUGCAGUUUUCUUUAGUAGGUUUCCAUUGUUCUUACUUUUCUUAUAUUGUUCUUAAAUUUUAUUUUACUCUUAGUGAAAUAUGCAUGGUCCCUAGCUAGGUUGUUUAGUGUUCCCAUUGAGAAUGAGAAAUUUGAGUGUUUUACAUCGUUAGAGAAGAUGUGGAAAUUGUUAGAAUGUAAAGGAAUUACAUGUUUCGAUAAUUUUAAAUACAAGUUUGAUAUAAAGGGGAAACAUCGAUUGAGUGAGAUGAAUAAUUGUUAAUUGCAAGAGAGAAAAUAGUCAAUUUCUGUUACCCCUAUAUGUGUUUAAAGUAGGUUUUCAUUUGCCUCCACACCCCCUUUUUGUUGAAAUGUUGGUUUUUAAUCGGAUGGCUCCUGAGCAGUUGAUAGGCUCUUCAUAGUGGAAGUUAAUGGCAUAUUUAUUAGAUUGCUGGUUACAUGGAGAAGAAGCCUUUGUGAAUGUGUUCAAGGGAAUAUAUAUAUAGUAACUCUUAUAAGUGAAAGUAACCAAGGGGGUUUUGUGAUGUUUACCACUCGAAGAAGGGGAAAAGUCGAUGAUAAAACCACUAGUAAUAUGCGUCUGAUCUGAGAUAAAUACACCAAGAUCGAACAAACUUGUGGUGGAGAAUUUCCUUUACCUGAAACCUUCCAGUGAAAAAAGUACUUGGAAUACUUAUUCAUUGAGCAAAGUAGAGGAGGCCAAAUUGAAGAGAUUCCAAACAAGUUCGCCCAUAAGAUAUGAGUAAGUCCACAGUUUGAGGAACAUUUGGCUCAAUAAUCAAACUCGGUAUUGGGAGGAUCACUGCUACUUGGGUUUGACAUGUUUGUCCAUGUUAAUCACACCAAUUGUUAAUCAGUAAGGUGAAUAAGAGGAAGAGGAUGGUGGUUGGUCGGAGGAAGGUAAGGUGAAAAUUGAUAAAGAAAUUAGUUUGUAAAGAAGUUUGACAGUUGAGGAAGAAUGAGUGAGUACGCAGUGCAUAUGAACUGUUGUAAGGCCCUUUUACAGUGGUGACAAGCUUAGCUACAUGUCUUGAGGUUACUAACAUGGAAGUUAGAUUUGAAACUCUUGAUAGUGACAAAUAUGCUAUGCCCUAGAAUAAGACAUUUUAGGAUGACUGACAAUCAAUUACUCUGGGCCUCUAUGUGGUCUUUCAUAUAAUCUCAAUGAAGAUGGCCAGCUUUAAAGUUCGCCAAGCUGAGUUUCGCAAAUUGACCCAAGGUCUGCCGUGUUGUCAACACCAUUGAAAGACACAUAUCAGAUUCUUUAUGGAUACAUUAGGAGAUCAAUGAAAUACUCUGUAAGGUCUACUAUAUAAGAUACAACAAUUGACAAUAGAAAAAAAAAUCCAAUCCCUCUCAAAUAUCAAUUCAACCUAUAAUUAAAGAUUUCACCAAUGUAAUCUUUCAAUCCCAUUUUUUAACCUUUGAUUAAAAUUUAAAAUCAACCAGGUCAAAGACAAAUUGUUGUAAAUAGAGAUGUUCAUUGAUAAGUCAAAUUAAAUUUAACUAUUUUUUGUCAAAUAUUUUGUUCCAACUCUCUUAAAUAUCCAAACAUAUGUCGGUGCCUAAAUCUCAUUUUAUUUUAUUAAAGUCUAUAAAAUUUUAAAAGAUGUGAACGUAACCUUAUCUAAAUCAUUAUCAUCAUUAUUGUUAUUAUUAUUUAUCGGCCAACAUCAUAUCUCAUCAAGUUAAAAUAUACAUCAAGUCUCUAUACUCUUCGUACAUUUGAUAAAAAAAGUUUUAAGGAUUUUAAUAAUUAGAUUUAAAUUUCAAAUUUUAAAAAAUAAAAAUUAAGAGAAUAAAUUUUAAAUAUACGAAAGAAAAAAUUAGAUGUAUUUUAAUUAACCUUUUCAUCCUCAACAUCUGGUCAACCUUGUAAGACUAAGGGUGAGUUUGGAUGGGCGGUGCGUUUAUCUGCGGUUAGUGUAAAAACAGCGGUGGCGGUGAGAUUAGAUACUGUAGCAAUACUGUAGCGUGAGACAAAAAGUAAACUAAACGCACCGCACCGCGCCAAUCGCUCAUCCAAACUCACCCUAAGGCGGAAAGUUCAGGGAGAGGAGGGGAUUAAGUCCACAGUCGCUCUCAUCAGUGACAAAGUCAUGUCUUUUUGGAAUGUUUCUAUGAUUUCCUCUCCAUUAUAGCAAACAAUAAAAAAUCCAUUAUUUUGAUCUAAAUUUUUAAAUUGAAAAUCACAAAAUAUUUUUCUAUUGAAGCAUUUCUAAAAUAUAUAUAUAACGUUAGAUUUAUGGGUCGGGUUAUCCGUUUGAAAUUUGAGAAGGUUCGGGUAAAAAAAUUAGAUCUGUUUAAAAUAUAGGUCGGACUCGGGCUUGAAUAUUCAAGGUUUGAGCUCAAGCCCAAGUCUGGUCCAACUCUUUUUUUAAGUUUAUAGUACUUUAUGUUAUGUUAUUUAUAACACAUUAAAAAAUAAACUUAUACUAAAUAUAUAAUACUACUCUAAUGUAAAUAUUAAAAUAAUGUUAAAUAAUUAUAUAAAAAAUUUAAUAAAUAAAAAAUAUUAAAUUAAAAUAAUAUAAAAAUGUAAAAAAUAAUAUGGGGCAAACUUUUAGGCCCAUAUUUCGGGUCGAGCUAGGCUUAGGCAAGCAUAAAGUAUAUUAAUAUCAUGGUUAGACCCAACCUGAACCUCGCCUGACCAAACCCAUAAGCACCUCUAAUUACAAAUGAAAAAUAUAAAUAAUAUGCCACUUGGUUAUUAAUAAAAAAUUGUCACUACGCAUAGUGAUAAAUUGUAUCUCUUGGUUAUAAUUAUUCAAGUAAUAUGUAAUGAAUAAAUGUGUUCAUCCUUAAUAGAUGUGACUAUCCAAAUAGGCAUCUCUUGAAUUGUUACGCCUCUAAAAGUCAUGAAAACUCCUAUAAAUAGGAGUGGAAUUUCGUUUGCAUUGUACACAAAAAAAAAUCUUUAGAAAAAGAAUUUCUCUUAUUAUUCAUCUUUUAAUAUUUAAAGAUUAUUCUAUAAAGAAUUGCUAUCAAAGUUUUUCUUUUAAUUUGAUACUCUUGCUAUGUGAUGCUUCACUUAAUGUUCAAUGCUCAAUGGAUUAUUUUUAUUAAUACAAAAUGUCGACAGACGUUGGGCUUCAUCAUAUCUUUAAUAUUCAUUUGCUUGUAACUUUUUUGCAUACCAAAAUAUAAGUAAUGUGAAUAGAAUGUUAAACAAAGUGACAUGAUUACAGUAUUGAAAUCUUCGUUAAUUUCUUAUUAGUUUAUUUGUAUUUUUAUGCACCAACAUCAAGAAAAAAAAUUAACUCCAUUGUAAAAUCAAUCAAAUUAAUUUAAUUACAAAUAUUGAAAUCGAUUAAUUUAAUUACAAAUUAAUUUAUUUGUUUCAAAUUGUGUUUUCAUAUUGGAAUUAUAUAUUACUUAUAUAAAAUAAUUAUUUAGUACACUAGUUGUGAAAAUUUUGAACUCCACAAAUAGGUUGAGAUUCCACCAUGUAUUUUUAAAUUAUAUUUAAUUUAAAAAAAAAACAUGUGAUGAAAUCUCAAUCGUACUUGUGGAGUUCAAAAUUUACAAUACGUGUACAAAAUAUUUCCAAUUAUAUAAUAUAAAUGCGAUAUAAUAAUUUUAUUAUAUGCUUAUAUUAUUUAUAAUAUUAAAAUAUAUAAUAAAAUAAUUAAUUAGUUCACUAAUAAGUGUUAGGUAUAAUGGUAAGGCAUAUUAUAUUUCUAAGAGGAGACAGGUUCAAACUUUGGAGACGAUAUUGUUGGGAGGAGCAGCAACAAACCCCGAACAUGAAUAGUAAAACAGACAUGAAGAAUACCAAAAUAAAUUAACUAAUUUAAUCUAUUAUGCUAAUGAUUUCAGAUAAAUUGAUUUCAAUUUUUUAUAUUAUUCCAAUAUAAUAUCAAACUCACAUAGUUACAUCCACACAGGCUAUUUAACAUUACUUUUGAAAAGUGACGUAGAAAAGUACUUUUUAGAAGUACUUCUGAAAAGUACUUUGGAAAAGUUUGAUUUAAGAUUUAAGUGUUUAGUAUUGUUAUCAAAAAAUGCUUUUGAAAAAUAAUAUGUCCAAUUUAGAUAUGGUAUUACAGAGUAACAAAUAUACAUUUAAAUAAUAUUCAAAUUAAUUAAUAUUAUGAUAUGUUAGUAUGAAUAUAAAUUUUAAAUAUUUUUAAGCAAUUUAUAAAAUUUAAUUAGACUAUAUAAAUUAUAUUUUAAAUAUUUAAAUAUAACAAUUAAAUAUUUGUAAUUAAAUAUUAACACAUUAGUAUUAUUUUAAAAAAUAAUAUUACGAAAUAACAUGUUUUUUCCUUCUCUGCAACGAAAAAAAAAAGAGGGAAAGGGAUGACGGAAAUAAUUAAGUAAUUAAAAGUACUUUUGGGAGAAUAAAAGCUACAGAUUUUAUCCAUUUGACCAGAAGUACUUUUGAAAAGUCAAAAAAUUUAACCUAAAGUUGUUUGCUUAACACAACUUUUCUUCCAAAAGUGCUUCUUCAGAACACUGUUAAAUACAACUUAAAUAAGUGACUUGUUUAAUGAAUCUUUUAACAAUGGUAAUUAAAUUAUAUUUUUGAAUAAUUAAAAUAAAAAUUACCCAUAUUUAAAAUAACUAACGAGGUAGUUAAAUUAGGGGAGAAGGUAGAAAUUUCUUUUAGGGGGUGCAAAUUAUUUAAAUUUUUCGAUACUAAAAAUACAAUUUCACUAUUUAAAUAACAUAUAUUUUUAUAGUUUUUAAAGAAUUAAAUUAUUUUUUAUUAUUUUUAUGGAGAGCAAGUGCAAUUUUGCUUUUUCUAAUAUAAAAUUUUAAAAAAUAUAAAAACCUAAAUAAAAAAAUUUCCGGUACGGGGCCCUGAGUUAAACUAUUAUUAUUGUUUGGCGAUUCUUGUAAAGCUAAGCGAAAGGUGAUGGGAAAGAGGCGUUUUGGAAGUUUCUUAUUACAAGGUCUUUUAGUUUUGGAAGUUUCUAUGGUUUCCUCCUCGUUAUGGCAAGCAACUCAAUUCUAUAAAUAGCCUAUUAUUUUGUAUCUAAACAUUUAAAUUAAAAAAAUAUCCAAGAAGAAUACUAUCUCUAUUUGAAUAUAUAGAGAGAAUUCUUGAAGCACUUUGAGUUGCAGAAAGCUUGAAAAAUGAGCACAAAAAUGGCGCCACCGUCGCCGGUGGUUGAUACUAAAGCACGUUCAUUGGAAGAGACACCAACAUGGGCUGUU